rnacentral:lncRNA from 1 species
UUUUUUUUUUUUUUGUCAUUCAAUUAUGAAAUGUUGCAAAAUAGUUGCCUAACGAUUCAAUUUUAUCAUUUUUAUCAUCAGUUGGCUAAUUAAAAAAUAGAAAACACCAAAAAUCUAAGAUAAUUGGGUGAAAAAAAAGGAAAAAAAUAAUAGUUUAUUGAAUAUUUUGUAACUUUUCAUAAUUAGUGUACAAGCCCAAAUUUACCCGAGGCCCAAUACCCAAUUGAAACCCAAACCUAAACCCCUACCCAUUACAACCAAACCAGGCCCAAAAUAAAAAUAAACCCUAGCCCAACAACCUAAAAAAAAAUUUCAGCCAAAAGGAAACCCUAAAGUGCCGCCGCACCCUAUGUCUGCCACCUCACCUGCCACGGCCACCAACUCUGCCCACCUGCCGCUUCUGUCAUCGUCCCAUCAUCCCACUUCCCUGCAAAGGAGAAAAUCACGCAAAGAGCAGUAGCAAACAGAGAAAAAGAAAAAAAAGACUAAAAUAGCAUGUAAAAUUGGCUAUAAAAGCCAAGUAUAAUAAUAUUUGAGAAAUAAAAAACAGAAAAAGAUUUCAAAGGAUUUUUUUUAGAUUCGCAUUUUUAUUUUCUGUCCAUUUUUUAUUUUUAUUUUUUUAAUUUUCAUACUAAAUAAUAAGUAUAAAAAAGGAAGAGAAAAAGAAACUCACCUGCGCCGGCCGAUCUACUCGCCGUCGACGGCCUCACCGGAAAAGGAGAAGAAACAAAAUGUUUCUUCGUUGCUCCGCCGGGUUUGGCCGGGUUUUCGGGGGUUUUGGCCUCGGAUCCUUGCUCUACGUGUAAAGGGCUUCGAAAUGGGUUAUUUUUGUUUUUCCGGCCACCAUGGACGGUGGCGCCGUUGUCGGCGACCGGAGCGGCGGCUGAUAACCGGACUCCUGGCCGGAUUUUUGGAAGGGGGAGAGGAUUUGAGGGAGUUUUCUAAGGUUUUUUUUUUAGGAAGAAAGAAAAUGAAAUUUUUUGAAAAAAAUUUGGUUUAAAUAGGGAAGCAAAACGGCGCCGUUUUGCUCAACCUUUUAAAGUGCCAAAACGGCGUCAUUUUGUGCCAUCCGACCCGACCCGACCCGCUCCAGGCCAGGAUCCACUUGUUUUUUUAGCGGAAGGGCUAAUUGCGCUUUCUGCCCUUCCGCUUUUCAAUGAUUUUGCAAUCAAGUUCUUUUUAGUUCUUAAUUUAGCCCUGAAAUUUCUUUCAGAUUUCAAUUCGAUCCACCUGGAAGCUAUGCGUUUUGGAGGGACGAGAUUAUUGCCCAUUUGGUCCCUCCUUGUUAUUCGCGCAUUCAACGUAGUCCUUCCCCUUUAAUUUAUUUGUGAUUUAACCCUGAAUUUUAUCUUUUAAAUUCAAUUUAGCCCACUGUUUGUUUUUUGGUUAUUUUAUUAUUAAAACUAAUAAAUUAUUAUUAUUAAUAUUAUUAUUAGUGUUAUUAAUAUUAUUAUUAAUAUUAUUGUUAUUAUCAUCAUAUUUAUGUUUAUACUUACUAUGUAAAUUUUAAAUAUAUGUAUCUUAUUAUAUUAUUAUUAUAUAAUUGCUUCUAUAUAUAUAUACACAUAUAUACAUAUUUAAUAUUUACAUACAUAUAUACGUUUAUAUUUUUUAUAUAUUUUAUCAUUUAUAUAUAUGUAUGUAUUUAUAUGCGCAUUUUAAAUUUUUAUAUAUAUACAUACUUAUAUUUUUUUUAUACUUGUAGAAUAAUGAAAGAAAACUUCUCAAGUAUAUUGGAUACUAACGUAUUGUUAUAUACAAGCAGGGAAAGGAAGUAACAGAAAGUAACAGAAAAAUAACUACUAACUGACUAACAAGAAAUUAAUUUAAAACUAUAUGACUAAUAGCCCACCUCAAGCUGGAGAAUGAAUGGGAAACAGUCCUAGCUUGGACAAAAUAAGCUGGAAGGGAACAGCAGCCAGAGCUUUGGUGAAGAUGUCAGCAAGCUGGUCUUUGGAAGAACAAGGAAGCAAUUUGACAACACCAGUCAACAUUUUUUCACGAACAAGGUGACAGUCGAUCUCAAUAUGUUUAGUACGUUCAUGAAACGUAGGGUUUGCAGCAAUUUGGAGAGCAGGAUUGUUGUCGCAAAACAAAGCAGUAGGCCCAGAAAUAGUCAUAUGCAAAUCAGACAGAAGAAAUCGAAGCCACUGAAUUUCACAAAUAAUAGAUGCAAGAGCCCUAUAUUCUACUUCUGAGGAAGAGCGAGACACGGUGCUUUGCUUCUUGGCUUUCCAACUAACAAAGGAAUCUCCAUAAAAUAGGUAGUAACCAGUCACAGAGCGACGUGUGAGAGGACAACCAGCCCAAUCAGAGUCACUAAAUGCCUUCAGUGUAGGCGAGGAAGAAGCAGAAAAGAAAAGACCAAAGUCAAUGCAUCCUUUCAGGUAGCGAAGAAUGUGAUGGGCAGCUUGAAGGUGAGUGACUGUAGGUCGGUCCAAGAAUUGACUUAACUGUUGAACAGCAAAAGCAAGGUCAGGUCUAGUAGAAACCAAAUACAAUAGGCGUCUAAUAAGUUUUCUGAAAAUAGUGUUAUCAGGAAGCAAUUCGUCAGAAGCAUCGCGAGGGAUUUUGGUAACCAUAGGAGUUGUAACAGGCCUACAAUCUGAGAAACCAAAAUCAGCCAGUAGAUCGAGAGCAUAUUUUUGCUGACAAAGAUGAAUACCAGCAGAACUACGAGCAACUUCAAGGCCAAGAAAAUACUUGAGAUCCCCUAAGUCUUUGAUGCUAAAGGUAGAAUGCAAGAAGGCUUUUACCCGUGUGAUUUCUUCCAAAAAAUCACCAGCUAGAAUAACAUCAUCAACAUAAACCAAUAAGGCAGUAAAGGAGAUUUCAUCCUUUUUAACAAAUAGAGAAAAAUCUGAAAUAGAUUGAACGUAACCAAUUGAAGUGAGAGCUGCAGUGAGAUUGGCAAACCACUAUCGACUAGCCUGCUUGAGACCAUAUAAUGAUUUUUGCAACUUGCAAACCUUAUGGGAAGUGGAGGAAGCAAAACCAGAAGGAAAAAGCAUGUAAACCUCUUCAGUCAAAUCUCCAUGCAAAAAUGCAUUGUUAACAUCAAGCUGGUGCAAAAACCAGUCUUUGGAAGCAGCAAUAGCAAGCAAUAAUCGAACAAUAGUAAUCUUGGCCAUAGGGGAAAAAGUAUCAAAAUAAUCAACACCCUCAGUUUGUGUGAAUCCUUUAGCAACCAAACGAGCCUUGUAACGCUCAAUAGAACCAUCGGCUCGAUAUUUCACACGAUAGACCCAUUUGCAACCGAUUGCAAUUUUGCCUGGAGGUAAGUCCAUAAUGAUCCAGGUGUUAUUUUGUUCAAGAACAGAAAUUUCAGCUUGCAUUGCUUCUUGCCAAUGGGGAAUUUUGCUAGCUUGUAAAUAGGUUGUAGGUAUGAGAGAAGCAUUGAUAGCAAGAGUAACAGGUGUGGCGCAUCGAAGAUGAUUGGCAACAGCUUUGCUAGAAAAACAGUGAUAUUGGUCUAAAUAUGAAGGAGGUUUCCUAAUACGAGGUGGCCUAGAAGGUUGUAAAGGAACGGGAGGUGAGGGUUGUGAUUGAAUUGGCAAGUCAUAGGUAAUGGUGGAGUCAAAGGUUAACUGUGGGAUGGAAGAGGAAGAAGAUGGUUGUUGAGAAAAAGGGAAAACGGACUCAUGGAAAUGGACAUUUCUGGAUAUGAAAAUGGCAUGGGUUGAUAGGUCAAAAAGAAUAUAGCCUUUGACAUGAGGUGGAAAACCAAGAAAGACACACUCACGUGCUCGAGGAUCCAACUUAUGACGAUGAGCAGUAAAAGUAGUUGCAAAACAAAGACAGCCAAAGACACGGAGGUGCUGAAAAGAUGGCUUAGUUUGGUAUAAUUUGUCAAAAGGGGUAAGGUUAGCCAAAAUGGGAGUAGAGGUAUGAUUAAUAAGAAAAACAGCAUGAAGAAUAGCAUGUCCCCAAAAAUGCUUAGGCAAAUGAGAAUGAAAUAAGAGAGCCCGUGCAAGAUUAAGAAUGUGUUGGUGCUUGCGUUCUACAAGACCGUUUUGUUGUGGGGUUUCAACACAUGUAGUUUGAUGAAUUGUGCCUUUGGAAGCAUAAAAGGCUGGAAUGGCAAACUCACAACCAUUGUCAGAUCGAAUGACUUUAAUUUUGGAUGAGAACUGAGUUUCAACAAGUGUGAAAAAAUUCUGAAUGUGAGUACGAACUUCAGAUUUUGCUUUCAAUAAAAUAAUCCAAGUAAAGCGACUAAAAUCAUCAACAAUGGUUAAAAAAUAACGAUGACCAGUAAUGGAAAUAACAUCAGUUGGACCCCAAAUAUCAACAUGAACAAGUUCAAAAAUUUUAUUGGAAACGGAAGUGCUUACAAGAAAAGAUAAUUUCUUUUGUUUGGCCAAAUGGCAGGCUUUACAAGGUGCAUUAUUUGACAAAAACAAAGAAGGAAUGUAAGGGAAAAGUAGUUUUAGUCGAGAAUCGGAAAGAUGACCGAGACGAUGAUGCCAAAUGGAACAGGAAGAUGUGUUGGCUGACAAGGCAAUGGGAGCAGAAAUGGAAAAAGUUUGAGCUGUGGAGUCCAAAAUAUAAAGACCAUGGAGCACUCUAGCUGUACCAAUCAUCUUCGAAGAAGGAAGAGCCUGUAUAGAACAAUGAGUUUUAUGAAAGGUAAAGGAAUAAGGUAAUAUAGGAGUGAGUUUAGUGACAGAUAAAAGAUUAAAGGUAAAUUGAGGAACAUAGAGAACAUUAGUAAUGUAAAGACUAUUAUUGAAAAUGACUGUACCAGAAAUUCGAGCACAAACUUUAGUGCCAUUUGGAAGGUUGAUGUAUAUAGGUUUAAUGGAAUGAAAAGAAGCAAAAAACGAUAAAGAGUGAGCAAUAUGAUCAGUGGCACCUGUGUCAAUAAUCCAAUGAUGGGAUUGAAGAGAAAAGAGGUUACCUGAGGAUGGGGAAGGGUUCGGUUGUGAGGAAGAAGCAGUAUUGGUAACAUAAGGUGAGGAGGUAGAUGCUGGAAGUAAUGCAAGUAGCUGUUGCAACUGAUCUUGUGUCAAAGUAACAGAAGGAUCAGAUGGCAAAAUAUCAACAUGCUGCGAAGAGUCCAAAGGUUGUGCAACACAAUCAUUAAGGGCUGUGUGUGCACGAGAGGCCCGACCUCGAGACUUAUAACCAGGUGGAUAUCCAUGCUUUUCAUAACAAGUAUCAACAGUAUGCCUGGAUUUGCCACAGAAGGUACAUUACCGUGAAUCAGUAGAUGAUUUUGCCUGAGGUUUCUUUGAAGUGUGGUGGCGCAGUGUGUUGCUAACAAACAACUAAGAUAAGCCAGUAGAAAGGUGACGUUCUUGUUGAAUAACCAGGGAAAACACUUUGUUGAUUGGAGGCAAGGGAUCGAUAAGCAUGAUUUGAGAACGAACAGCAGCAAACCGAUCAUGGAGACCCUUAAGAAAACGAAUAACGUAGUCGUUAUCAUGAUAUUUCUGGAGAGUGACAAAAACACCGCAAGAGCAAGAUGGUGAACAAGAACAAACUGGAAUUGGUCGAAAAUUCAUCAACUCAUCCCAGAGAAUUUUUAACUCAGUAAAGUAAUCAGUAACGGAACGAUCAUCUUGCUUGAAAGCAUUGAUCUCUUCUUGGAGAGCAGAAAUGCGGAAAACAUUACCUUGAGAAAAGCGUUCACGAAGAUCGCACCAAACAUCAUAAGCAAAGUCGAGCCAAAGAACACUGUUCAUGAUCGAGGGCGAGAUGGAAUGGUGCAACCAAGAAAGCACCAUAGUGUUACAUCGUUCCCAUGCAGAAUAAAGAGGAUCCGUUCGAGGUGGAACCGUGAUGGUGCCGUCAACAAACUGGAGCUUGUUGUUGGAUAGAAAUGCCAUUGUCAUAGCUCGAGACCAAAAGUGAUAGUUUGAGCUUCAUAAGAUAGGAGAAACAAGAACCAAAGUUGGGUUUUCAUUUGGAUGCAGAUAGUAUAGGCUAGAAGGCAGCAUAGUAUCAUGAAAUGCCAUUGGAAGAAAAGGGAAUCAAGAAUGCAGAUUAUGGAGAAAGCAAAAAAAUAACGUCUGAUACCAUGUAGAAUAAUGAAAGAGAACUUCUCAAGUAUAUUGGAUACUAACGUAUUGUUAUAUACAAGCAGGGAAAGGAAGUAACAGAAAAAUAACUACUAACUGACUAACAAGAAAUUAAUUUAAAACUAUAUGACUAAUAAUACUUUAUAAUUUUCAUAUACAUAUUUUUUAUUUUCAUAUAAUUUAUAUACAUACCUACAUAUUUUUAGAUAUAUACAUACUUACGUUUUUUUUUUCUUUUUUUUGCUUUAUAAUUUAUAUAUAUAUGUAUAUACAUUCACACAUUUUAUAAUUUAUAACUUAAAUAUAUUGAUAUACUCUUCGUAUUGUUAUUGUUGUUCUAUUGGAUAUUUAUUUAUUCAUUUAUUUAUGUGUUCGUCAUUAUUUUUAGGAAAUACUUUAGUUCCCUUUUUAUUUACUUGUUAUUUCAUAUAUACUUAAUUUGUUUUUUAUGUAUUUUAUUUUUUUGAUUGUUGCUCAUAUUAGUUAUGCAUGUAUUAUCAUGUUCAUUAUCAUUUUGCUAUACAUAUUAAUAUUGUGUUUAUUCCUACCAUUUUAUGUUAAAUUAAUUUUAUUUAAUGUAAAUCAUGGCUUUAAAAUAAGCAUAAUUUCGUAUUCUGAGAUUCGAAAAGAUUGUGCCCUAACUUACGGGGUUUCGACUUUCUCGACAAAUUCAAACGUACGAAUCCUUUCAAACUUAAAUUUUUUAAACAAUCCCGAAAAUUAUUAAAAGAUCGUAUUCUAACUUGCGGGACAUGAUUUCUUUUCUAAACCCUAGAUAAUCAAAUAUCUUUCAAAAUAAAUAAUUUAUUUUUUGGGCAUUUAUUCAUGUAUCGAGAAUUCAAGACAUUGUAUCCCAACUUACAGUACUAUAUAAUUCUCUUUCUCGAUUAGCAUUUCAACAAAGGAUCAUGAUUUGAAUCUUUUUCAAAUUUUCAAUCUUCGACAUUAGGACACUAAUUAAUCAACGAGGGUGCUAAUCCUUCCUCGUACGUAACCGACUCUCGAACCUGUUUUCUAAUUUUCGUGGACCAAAAUCGUUGUUUUGAUAAAACCAAAUUGUUUAUUAAAACAAUCAUUUUUCGAGGUGGCCCGAUCACACCUCAUCAAAAAAGAUUGGUGGCGACUCCCAUUUUCGUUUUUAUUUUUCAAAACCCAAGUCGACCCCGUUUUCACAAAAAAAAUAGUGUCAACAAUUAGGUAAAAAAUACUAAUAAUUUAGUAAUUAUUUUGUAAUUUUUUAAAUAAUUGAAUGACUUAACGACGUGAAAUAGAAAACGAGAAAACAAAUUUAAAACAAAAAUAAACAAAAACGAUGUACUUAACUGUUAUUUCCUUCUUCUCCAACAAAAACCCCGUCGUUUUAAUCCCUAAACCUAAUGUGAGCCAGACACCUUACAUCAAUAUGAUUCCUCCCAGUUACUACAUGGGACCAUUCAGAAAUUUGUGUCAAGCAACGUUAAACAUGGUGGGACCAUUUCCAACCAAACAACAUUGUUUUCAUUUAAUAAUAAAUGUGUUAUUUGUAUUAAAUAUUCUCAAUUUAUUAUUUAAUUUUAAAAAAAAUUAAUUUAUAAAUUCUAAAAUAUUUUAAUUAAAUUUUGAAAGUAUUAAUAUUAUAUCAAUAAAAUUAUUUCAUUUUUAUAGUUAUCAAUUUAGGUUUUUAAAUUUCACUUCAGAUUUAACAUGAAUUAAAUUGUAAAUACUUGCGUACUCAUCAUAUUGAUAACUUGAUUCUAACAUAUUAAAAACACGAUGAGAUUAUAAAAUUUAAGAGGAUUAUUUUUUUAACACAUUAGAUUCAAGUUGUCCAUAUAACAUGUACACACGUGUUUUAAGUAUGUCUCCUAUCAUAUUUGAGCGAACAUUUAAUGCUCAAGCUAACGGCUAAGUUAAUAGAAAAAUGGGAUAAAUUUCAAAACUAUAUAUAAACUUUGGCAUAAUAUGUAAUUUUAUACAUGAAAUUUCAAUUUAAUUCAAUUUUCACAAAUUAUUAACACAAUUAUUAAUAUAGCAUCAUUUUAUGUUUAUAUAUUGCAUAAACAAAUAAUUAAAUUUAUCCACGACAAAAAUAAAUUGAUGUAUCUAUUUCUUUAAAUAUGUAUGGUUGAGUCAAAAUAAAAAUUUAUGUAUAAUUUUAAAAUUUAUCUCUAGAAAAAUUAAAUUGGUAUAAUUAUGAUAUCUUAAAGAAUUCAAUUAAAAUGUUAUUUGGGUUAUAAUCUGCGAAUGUAUAGUGCAAGCAAUCAUUUUAUAUGUUUUAAUUUUAUUUAUCAUCUUAUUUUAAAGGAAAAUUAUUUCAUUCAAUACUGAUAAAGUUUAAAAAUUAAACAAAUAGAGUUAAAUGGGCAACACAUACCUCUUUAAAGUGAAGUAAAAUAAAAUUUUAAUGGGUCACUAUGAUCAUUGGAUCAUGUUGAUGGAGAACUUCUUGCAGGCAUGUGUGAGGCCGUGUAGGCUACACGGGCUGGCUAAUUGGGCUAUGUGGACCCUUUUUUGGAAAAAAUUCACCUAGGUCCGUAUGACUCUAAAAUUUGUAAUUAGACUUUCCUUAGAGCCAUACUACUUCAUUAAGGCUUGGAAACAAUGUAUUUGUUAAUAUGCUUCUGUGUAUGAUGUGUUUAAGGUAUGUGGAAUAUAUUUGCAUGAUCUGAUACUGAUAGUUCUCAUGGUGUGUUCUGAUUCGGUAUGUCUGUAAAUGUGUGUAUGAUGUGUGAUUUUGUUAAUUUGUAUUUCUAAAUCGGCCAUAUGACCAUGCAUGUGACAUUGUGGCUUUUCUGUUAAGGUGAUUUGUAAUUAUGAUAUAUCUAUAUACAAAGCAUGAAAUCACAUGCUUACUGAUUUUUGUUAAGAAUAUGAAUGCAUGUUCGACAUGCUUAUCAUUCUGUUUCAGUUUAUGCAUGCCACGUCACAUUGCAUGGGGUUUGGAUAUUAUGGUAUGGAGAAAGUUUCAGCAGUUUAAUCAUCUACAUUAUCUGGUGAUUUAUUCACAUUUCUCUCUACAUUUAUGGUGGCUCGACCACACACAUGUUAUUUUGACAGCUUGGCUACAAUAUAGUGGCUUGUCCACAUAUAUUCGAUUUGAUAGUUUUAACUUCAAUCUCUGGUGGCAUUGACCAGAAUAAGUAUGUUGGUGUGAUUGGAUGGACGAGUUCUGGGGAACUCUAUUUGGUGUGUAUUGGACUUGGGUAGGAUAUUUUCUAUAUAAAAAAAAACCAGCAUUACUUUUUUUGGAUAAAUAAGCACACAUUCUUAGUUUUGCUCAAAUCAUCGUUAUGAAAGUCUCUGUGAUUCUGUGAAUUGUUGGCUGUGUUAUUUGAGUUCUAGGUUUGAGUUUGUUACACACUGAGCUUUAUAGCUCACCCAUUUGUUUAAUCUCUGACUUUUAUGGUAAUCUUUGAGUUUAGGAUCGGACGGCGCGGGAGCUCAAAUUGUUUUCUCGAUUAAAUAAUUUUGGGUUGUGAUACUUUGUCAAUUAAGUAAUUCUUGACAGCCUAAAAGAUAAUUUUUUAGUGGACUUAUUCUUUGAAAUACGGGUGAAAUAAUUAUCUCAACUUGGUAAACAAUUUUGGUUUUCAUUUUACUUUUUGGUUGUAUUGGAAGCUGUUUCAAGGUUUUGUUCAAUCAAUGGUUGUAAUCCUUCUUCGAACGAGAGAGAAUUUGAAACAGAUUGAAGUGUAGACUUGACUUAUUUUAAUUUAAGCAAGCAGUAUGAUAAUUUUUAGGUGUUUGGGGUUUUUCAUUUCUCUUGGGGCAUGGUUUUGAGGAUGAAAGAUGAUUUUUUAAAGAGAGGUUAUGCUUUACGAUUUGACAUGGGUUUCAUAUACUUUGUUAUUAUUUUUAUGAUUUGUUAUUUUAUUUUAGUUGUCAUGUAUUUCGUUUAGGUGAGGUUUAAUUUAAGGUGUUUUGGGUAUGAGUAAUAUGUUCUAUUAAUUGUAAUAUCGUUACCUCAUUAGGAGUUUCGUAUGUAUGUAAACAAUAAAUUAAAAAUCAAAAUUUUUCUAACGAAGUAGUCAUGUCUUAUUAAUUGUUUAACUUAGGUGUAUUACUUUAUUUUGAAAAAUUAACUGAAAAUAUUAAUGUUAAUAAUAAACAAAAUGCGACCACUGUUAAUAAUAUAUAUUAACGCACUAACAAAUUCAAUAAAAAAAUUUAACAGUACUAACAAUUGGACCUGAAAUUUGAACUCUAAAAAGUAAAAGAAUUAAAUUCCUAUAACUAUAAGUAUAGAGACUAAAUUUCAAAUUUAUAGUGAGUACAAAGACAUAUGGCAUAUAACCUAAAAAAGGGUAACCUACUUUAGUAGUCACCCAACUAAGUUUUUUUUUUUGGUCAUUCAAUUAUGAAAAGUUACAAAAUAGUUGCCCAACGAUUCAAUUUUAUCAUUUUUAUCAUCAGUUGGCUAAUGAAAAAAUAGAAAACACCAAAAAUCUAAGAUAAUUGGGUGAAAAAAAAGGAAAAAAUAAUAGUUUAUUGAAUAUUUUGUAACUUUUUAUAAUUAGAUAAAAAAAUACUAAUAAUUUAGUGAUUAUUUUGUAACUUUUUAAAUAGUUAAAUAACUUAACGACGUCAAAUAGAAAAUGAGAAAACAAAUUUAAAACAAAGAUAAACAAAAACGAUGUACUUAACGACAUUAUUUCCCUUUUCUCCAACCGAAACGCCGUCGCUUUGAUCCCCAAACCUAAUAUAAGCACACCUUACAUCAAUAUGAUACCUCCCAAUUACUGCAUGGGACCAUUCAGAAAUUUGUGUCAAACAACGUUAAACAUGGUGGGACCAUUUCCAACCAAACAACAUUGUUUUCAUUUAAUAAUAAAUGUGUUAUUUGUAUUAAAUAUUCUCAAUUUAUUAUUUAAUUUUUUAAAAAAUUAACUUAUAAAUUCUAAAAUAUUUUAAUUAAGUUUUGAAAAUAUUAAUAUUAUAUCAAUAAAAUUAUUUCAUUUUUAUAGUUGUCAAUUUAGGUUUUUAAAUUUCACUUCAGAUUUGACAUGAAUUAAAUUAUAAAUACUUGCGUACUCAUCAUAUUGAUAACUUAAUUUUAACAUAUUUAAAACACGAUGAGAUUAUAAAAUUUAAGAGGAUUAUUUCCUUUUUUUUAACACAUUAGAUUCAAGUUGUCCAUAUAACAUGUACACACAUGUUUUAAGUAUGUCUCCUAUCAUAUUUGAGCAAACAUUUAAUGCUCAAGCUAACGGCUAAGUUAAUAGAAAAAUGGGAUAAAUUUCAAAACUAUAUAUAAACUUUGGCAUAAUAUGUAAUUUUAUACAUGAAAUUUCAAUUUAAUUCAAUUUUCACAAAUUAUUAACACAAUUAUUAAUAUAACAUCAUUUUAUGUUUAUAUAUUAUAUAAACAAAUAAUUAUAUUUAUCCACGACAAAAAUAAAUUGAUGUAUCUAUUUCUUUAAAUAUGUAUAGUUGAAUCAAAAUAAAAGUUUAUGUAUAAUUUUAAGAUUUAUCUAUAGAAAAAUCAAAUUGGUAUAAUUAUGAUAUCUUAAGAAUUCAAUUAGAAUGUUAUUUGGGUUAUAAUUUGCGAGUGUAUAGUGCAAGCAAUCAUUUUAUUUGUUUUAAUUUUAUUUAUCAUCUUAUUUUAAAGGAAAAUUAUUUCAUUCAAUACUUUCCUUGAAGAGUUUGCAGUAAGGGACUGCAAGGAGGUUGAUUUAGAGGGCAUGCAAUGGGAACCCCUUAAGAAUCUCUCUCAUUUGGAGAUUGAUAAUAUUCCAAAGCUGGUGUCUCUCCCCAUUUGGCUCCAACAUCUUGUUCAAUUGAAAACAUUAAAAAUUCAUAACUGCAAUGGAUUGAGGUCACUGCUUCCUGUGUUCCAACAUCUCACUUUCCUUGAAGAGUUUGAAGUAAAGGACUGCAAGGAGCUGGAGUUAUCUGGAGCUGGCAUCCAAAUAUUCCAAGAUCAUACAAGCCUACGCUCUCUAUGGCUGCAAAGUAUUCCAAAGUGUCGGCAUCUUCCGGAGUGGCUUCAACAUCUAACAAAUCUGCAACGGCUUUUUCUCGUUAAUUUGCCCAAUUUAACAUCUCUUCCGGAGUGGCUUCAACAUCUAACAAAUCUGCAAGGGCUUUAUCUCGGUUAUUUGCCCAAUUUAACAUCUCUUCCGGACGAGAUGCGUUGCCUAACCAAAUUGCAAAUUUUAGAAAUAGAAGGAAUUCCUCAGUUGGAGGAAACAUGUCGGAAGGACAUUGGCGCUGAUUGGCAAAAGAUUGCUCACAUCCCCAACAUUCGGUUGAUUCAGGUUGGUCCCUCUUUGUUAUUUAUUUAUUUUGAUGACCUUAUCUUUUUUUGAAGAAAAAUAAGAGUGGUAUAUUGAAUCUCCAAGUCAGGGGUCUGAUGCUAUUUUUCAUUGAAGUUGGAUACUGUUAAUUUCCUUGUUAAAAUCCCUUUGUUUUAAUCCUACUUUUUACUUAUCAUCUUUCAUAAUAUUUUUGCUGAUUUGUGCAGUAAGGCAUUGGAGAAAGGCAUUAGUCAACUUCAAUCAUUUUAUAUGCAUAAAAAAGAGGUGCUAAUUUACCUAUUUGCUUUUUACUUUAAAUCAUAAUAGUAACUUGACAAUUGCUUCUACUAAUUUAAUUCUAAAAAAUUAUUGAUGUGGAGAGAGAGGCCUAUGAAGCCUUCAAAAUGGUUGUACUAUAUGCUCUGCUUUCUUCAUUUAAGCACUUACCUAUCAUAUCUUUAUAUAUAUUUAUGUUUUCUCUUAAUAUAUGCCAACUGAUUACUACCUUAGAUGGUACCUGUGAUAUUGACAGGCUUUUGGAGGUAUUUAAAUUCAUAAUAUUCAUUGAUGCAGGGCACUCUUUUAGCUGUUUGGAGUUCCAGCUAAAUUUGUUAUUGAAGGUCCAAAUAGGAGAAAAAGGAAGAUGCUUCAGAAUAUUUGGUGGUGAGGUUGAAUUUGAUAAAAUGUUUCAUUAUUUAUAUAUCAAGAGUAUUAUACUAAACACAGAUAUGUGUAAAUAUAAGGCUGAUAAUAAUGGGAUUUGUAACAUAUUCUAUGUUGGCAUUUAUAAUUUUCAGGUUCAUUGAUGCUUUUGGAAGAGUCGUUGUUCAAGCAUGACAAUUGCCAGACAUAUUGCAUUUGAAAAUUCUUAUUCCUCUUUACAUGGAGCUUAUUAAGAGCUUGAUUCAUAGUAGGAAAACCAUUGGAUGUUGAAUGUGAAUUUUCACUUGCAUAGCUAAAAUGAGUUGGGAGAGAAUUUACUUAAUUGUACAAAAGUGAUGUUGCAUCAAGUGUUCAAAGGGUUAGGCUUAAAUCAUUUCUUUAUACUAUAAAGUUCAUAGAGGAUUCAUCCUUGGGCAAAGCACCGCAGACGUAGGACAAGUUCCGAACCGAGUAAACAUCUUAAUUGUACUCUUUAUUUUUCUUAUUGCAUAAUAUGUGCCAACUCAGGAAAAAACACAUUUAUGUUUUUUUAGACAGUAUUCCAAGGCUAUGUUCAAUUAUAAUGCUUGGAUUAGGACCGUUCCAAAAGAUGUCAAUUUCCUGGCUGUAUAUACAUAUGACUUGUGUGUUGAUGCUUAUGUUGGCACACGUUAAAUUACAAGUUGAAUAACAACUUGUAAUUUGUUCUUGUCGUUUAAACAAAACAUAAGGCUUUUCCUUUGGAAUCUCGAUGCGACGAGGUACUGCAAUCCUCGAAAGGAAGGAAGGACAUGGGCAAUGGCAGGGGUGUUUCUUGGUGAGCUAAGGAAAUCAAAGUCUCCUAGGAGGAUUCUAGCCCAUCAAUUCCCUCUAUAUUAGCAACAAUGAACCUGCAGACUAUAAAUAUCAAUAUAUAGACUGAGUAGUGUCCAAAUGUAGAAGAAACACUUGCUGUUACUAAAAACAUGACUCCAUAUUUUGUGCGCAAAUGGUGGCCAAACACAACAUCAUUUUUGUCUGCCGCGCUCUUCCUUUUUAAUUGCUGAGAAAAAUCAGCAAUAUUUCAAAGUACUGCCAAUGGCAGGCAAAAUUACAAGGUCCCUUAGUAUUUGUGCACGGUUAUAUCUACGUUAACAAUCAACUGAAUUGAAGAAAAUAAAAUAAAAAAGAGCAUAAGUUUAGCAAAUGCAUAUGUACGAGAGCUUGUACAAGAAAACUUACUGUUAACCAUAAGAACCAUCAGAAAUGCUUCGCUACUUGAUUCAAAAGUUAAUUCAGAAAGGCCAAAACUCAAAGAGAUAAAUGGCAUGACAAAAUCAAGUAAAGUAACUAGUAAUUCACUUGUUAUCGCGUUGAAGACAAUAAAGAAAAAGAAUAUAAUAUACGAAUAUAGUUUUGUCCGAUAAACUAGCAGAGCAGUCGUAUUAUACAUGAGGGGGAAACUAUAGUGAUAAACAUUAUGGAUAUCAACUGAAUCAUUUUUCAAACAUCCAUCAAAGACAAAACAUCAAAAGAACUAACAUCCAUCUGGCUUUCUUCAUAUAGAGCACGGCAUUAAAUGUUCAACUUUAAACCCAGAAUGGAGUAGCAUAACAUAACCUUCCUCUCUUACUGUCGAAACCGUUUUUUUUGAAAAUAAAAAUUUAGUUGUCGACUUUAAAAAUAAAACUGGAGUCGCCACCGAUCCUUUAUUAAGGUGUGAUCGGCCCACCUUAAAAAUAAUUUUGGUCUACGAAUUUUGAAAAAACGAGUUCGGAAGUCAGUUACGCACGAGGAAGGGUUAGCACCCUCGUGACGCCCAAAAUCGGUACCAAAUUGAUCAUUUAAUGUCUUUGUGUCGAAGGUUAAAAAGAUUUUAAAAUCAACUCAAAUGAUGAAAUUUGAAAAAGGAUAAUCAAUUGUUCAAGUCAUGUAAAGAAAUCGAGUCCCAAUACGUUAGGGUACAAUUCCUCAUAAUUCCCGAACUUUGAAUAUCACUUUAUUUUAUGCGAAAAUCUUCAUUUAGAGAAAGUAACAUGCCACACCCAAUACGUUAGGACACGGCAAGUUAAGUUCCCAAAAAUGAUUUUUAUACUCAUGCAUUUUGAAUAAAGAAUAUCCUCGGUUAUCUAGAAUUAGAAAAGAAAAUCGGAACCCAAUACGUUAGGGCUCAAUUUCCUCGAAAAUUCCCAACCUUGAAUAUUGUUUUUAUUCAAAAAAAAAAACUUUUAAGUCAAGAAAAUAAUUUUGAUGUACUGUCAAAACCAAAAUGUAUUUCCCAAAAGGUAAGUUAAAAGUUAGUGUAUAAUAUGAGACAAAAACUUUAACUUAAAGCAUAUAUGAAUAUAUAUUUACAAAAUAAAAAGAAUAAAAUGUAUAGGUAUAUGUACAUGGUAAAUUGUAAAAAUACGUAUAUGAAUAUUGAAACACUUAUAUAUAUGUAAAAAAUGUAUAUAAAUAAUAGAGUAUACAUAGAAUAAUAAAAAAAAUGUUUAUAAUAACUCGGCAAUAUCAAAAAAAUGUAUAUAUAUAGUGUAAAAAUGUGUAUUUUGAAUUAUAAAAUGUAAAUAUAUGUAUAGAUGUGUGUACAAAAGUCAUGAAAAUAAAAUAUAAAAUAUAAAUAAAAAAAUAAGUAUAAUACAUUAAUAAAUUAUGGGUAUUAUAUAUAUAUGUAUAUAUAAAAAAUAGGAAAAUAGAAUAAAGUAAAAAAUAUAUAUAUAUGUAUUUAAAACGUGUAAAGUAUGUAUACAUUGUACAUAUGCGUAAUAAGAGUAUAAUAAUAAUAAAUAAUAAUGUACAACCAUAGAAAUAAUAAUAAUAGUAAUAAAUAUAACAUAAUUAAUAAAAAAAAAAGUAAAACAACAAAUUAAGGAUUAAAUUGAAAAUAAACGAAUUUUUGAAGCUAAAUUUAAAGAUGAAAAAUAAAAAAAAAAACCAAAUUAAGACACGUGCAACAGUUGGAGGACCGUAAGGGUAAUUUACCCAAUUUCCCAAACGUUGCGCAGCAACAUGGACCAAAUUAAAACAGUAAUAAAACAUACAACCAAAUUUUAAAGAAAUAAAAGACCGAUUUAAACACCCCUCAUAAAAGAGAGGACCAAAUGAGGAAUUGGCCCAUUUUAAAAAAAAAGUGCGCGGAUCCUGGGACCGGGUCGGGUCACCGCGCGGGUCAUGGCCCCCCCAUACGGCGUCGUUUUGCAAGUGUUAUUUAAAAGGGAAAAAAACCUAAAAAAAACAUUUGCAGGUCCCCAAAAAAAACAAAGGAGGGCCGCCCCUUUUCCUCUGCUAGGGUUUCGGCCCUAGCCCCCUUUUGCGCCGCCGUUCAAGUGAUUCAAUCGGUUCGAAAUCCGGUGCCGAUCCCGAUCCCGACUCAGGUAAGUUUUCUUUUCGUUCUCCUUUUUAUUUUAAAUAGAAAAAUAAAUGGAAAAAUAAAAAAAACAGAAAAACUAAAAGCGAUUCACCUUCGAAAAAACUUUUUCAGUAUAUUUUCUCUCUAUAUCUUCUUUACACUCACUUCCCCCCCCCUUUUACACUGAUUUCCCCCUCGGUUUUUAUAACCGAAAAAUAAAGAAGAGGAAAAAAAAUCUCGCAAAACCCCCCUUAUUUUCUGUUCUUGUUGUAUUUGUGCGCCUCCUUUUUUGCAGGUUUGGUGGCGUAGAAAGCGUAUGCACGUGGAGGCGCAAAUCGCGCGGAGGGAGGCUUCUGGCCCCGAGUCGUGCGGCGGUUGGGGUUGCUUGGCUGCGGCGCUAGGGGUUGUGCUGAAGGUUCUAGGGUUUUUUAUAGUUGGGCUGGUUUGGUUAUUGUUUGGGUAAUUAGGCUUGAGUUUUAAUUUUGUUGGGCAUGUAUUGGUUUAGGCCCGGGCAAUUUGGGCUUGUACACUUACCAUAGCAUUUAUAUUACAUAAAACAAACAUAAUGUAAUAGCCCAUUUUUGCCUGGGCCCAACACACCCAAACUUAACAACCCCCAAAAUAAAAACCCAAACCCAAACAGCCCAAAUUACAAAAAAACCUAGCCCAAUAGGCCCACAACAUAAAUGUUUUUAGCAACAAAGGAGGCAGAAACCCUAGGGCGCGCCGCAUGUCAGCAAGGCUCCCUCGCACGCCUCCGUUGCAGCACGUCACCUCCACGCAUCGUACGCCUCUGUUACAUGCCAGAAAAAACAAGACAGAAAAUGACAACAAGCAGAAAAACAAAUUGCAAAACGACAAAAAAUAGAAAUUUAGGGGUUUUUCAAAUCGGCUAUAAAAGCCGAAUAUGAUCGCUGUAAUGCUUCUUCUUCCUUUUUGGAGUCUUUAUUAUUAUUAUUUUUGGUUCAAGAUAGUCAUAUUUCUUUUAAAAAAAUAUUCAAGACUCCAAUAUGGAAAUAAUUACCAAGUUUAGAAGUUAACUUGAACAAAAGAAAAGUCUAAGCUAUGAGAACGGUUUCCUAUUCUAAGCCCUAAUAUGACAACAAUUAUUAAGUUCAAAAAUUAACUUGAACAAAAGAAAAAUUCAAACCUCAAAGUGAGAAUCGUUGUCUAAUCUAAUCCUCAUUGUGGAAUAAGUGCCAAUUUCAAAAAUUAACUUAGAUAAAAAUAUUUAAACCCUAAUAUAAGAAUAAAUACAAAAUUUAUACCCCAAAUAGUGUUUCAAUUUGUUAUUUUCUUUUGUUUGCCUAACCCAUUUCUCAAUGCGAGCUGGGGGUGGCUUUUAAUUUUGAGGUUUACCAAGUAGAAAAAAAUACAUUAUUUUUCUAUUGAAAAGGAUCGUUGACAUUAAGAGAGGGUUAGAUUUUUGCAAGUGAGAAUUUAAUAAUGAGGAAAAACACAAGAUGAAAGAGAAAAAUUGGAGAGACCCUUUUAUGAGAGAAAAUUAGAGUUUGGGUCCAUGGAUUCAUAAUAUCUUAACACCUUGGAUUUCAUGGGUUUGGCUCCUUCGUCUGUUUUCUUUGGUAGAUUUUUCAUUGGUUUCAUAUUGUGCACUCAGCUUUUGAAGCUCUUUUCUCCCAGAUAUUUCAAUUAUUUGUACGGAUCCACAUAGACAAAUUUUGCUCAAGUUGAUGUAAUUGUGGAGAGCACCCGAAGUGUCAUCAUCCCAACUUCAUUUAGAUGCAGAAAAAGAGGUGGUAAUUACUUAAUUGCUUUACAUUUUUAAAUCAUAAUAAUCUCACAAUUUCAAAUGAUCUAAUAACUCCCAUGAAAUCCUCCUCUGUAUGCACAUUUGUUCUUUCUUUUCUUUUUUUCUUUGUUGAAGAGUCCCUCUGAUGACCUAAUCCUAAUUUUUGUUAGAUUUUGGCUCUCUUCUUCGGCGGAGCAUGGCAUAUAUUACAAGAAGCAGAGGUAAUAUAUGUUCAACUACGAUCUGUUCAUCUGCCAAAAUAUUCCAACAAAACAAAAAUGAUAAUAUAUGUCAUCAGUUUCCUUAUAAUUUCCAACUGAUCUGAUACAAAAUUAUAUAUAUGGAGUAUUUCAAGAGUUGUAAUAUAUAUGCCAACAGCUUAUAUGGUACCAAUGCUAUUGACAGAUUCUUUGGAGUCGUGUUGGAGAGAGCUUAAACACGCAAUGUCAUUUUCAAGUAAGUCAAUUGAAUAAGGGCUGAGGGUUGAUGAAAAUGGAGGGGGAAGAGGGGGAUAGUUCACAAUAUUCACUGGUGCAGGGCACCCAUUUUAGCUGUUUGAUUUUUUAAGGUUGCAUCAGGAGAGGAUCUUGCUUCAGAAUAUUCGGUGGUGAGGUUGAGGUUGAUUAAAUGUUUUCAUUAUUUAUAGACGAAUAACAACAUAUUAACACUAAUGGGGAUGUGAAUUUGUUACCAUUACAGAUGAUGGUGAUGUUAAUAAAACCUGAUUGUUAUCCUUGUUUCUAGGUAAGUAGUUACUGCACAUCAAGGACUUAGUAACUAAAAAUUAUGGGUUUAUUUAGUUUAUAUUUUUUCUCUACUUGUUAAGAGUUCUAUUGUGAGUCUUAUUACGUCAGUGCCUAGCUUUUUGUUUUUCUAUUAUGUAAAAGCCUAUAUAAAUAGGCUCUUGGAUUGUGAAUUAUUUUACUCAUCAUUUUAUUUUUCUCUUUCCUUUUUUAUUUUCAUCUUGUUGUUAUCUCUCUGAGUAAGUUAACAGUGGUGCCAAAGCUAGUCAAAAGAAGAGUAUUUUCGGUGAGAGGAAAAAGUUGGUGGUCCUCCUAUGGCUUCUGAAAAUUUUGUGCAGCCAGCUAUUCCACGUUUUGAUGGUCACUAUGAUCAUUGGAUCAUGUUGAUGGAGAACUUCUUACGGGCAUGUGUGAGGCCCUGUGGGCCACACGAGCUGGCCAAUUGGGCUGUGUGGACCCACUUUUUGAAAAAAUUCACCUAGGUCCGUUUCACUCUAAAAUUUGUAAUUAGACUUUUCGUAGGGCCAUACUACUUAAUUAAGGCUUGGAAACAAUGUAUUUGUUAAUAUGCUUCUAUGUAUGAUGUGUUUAAGGUAUGUGGAAUAUAUUUGCAUGAUCUGAUACUGAUAGUUCUCAUGGUAUGUCCUGAUUUGCUAUGUCUGUAUAUGUGUGUAUGAUUUGUGAUUAUGUUAAUUUGUAUUUCUAAAUCGGCCAUAAGACCAUGCAUGUGGCAUUGUGGCUUUUCUGUUAAGGUGAUUUGUAAUUAUGAUAUAUCUAUAUACAAAAUAUGAAAUCACAUGCUUACUGAUUUUUGUUAAGAAUAUGAAUGCAUGUUCAACAUGCUUAUCAUUCUAUUUCAGUUUAUGCAUGCCACGUCACAUUGCAUGGGGUUAGGAUAUUAUGGUAUGGAGAAAGUGUCAGCAGUUUAAUCAUCUGCAUUAUCUGGUGAUUUAUUCACAUUUCUAUUUACAUUUAUGGUGGCUCGACCACACACAUAUGUUGUUUUGACAACUUGGCUAUAAUAUAGUACCUUGUCUACAUAUAUUCGAUUUGAUAGUUUUAACUGCAAUCUCUGGGGGCAUUGACCAGAGUUAUUAUGUUGGUGUGAUUGGAUGGACGAGUUCUGGGGAACUCUAUUUGGUGUGUACCAGAGUUGGGUAGGAUGUUUUCUAUAUAUAAAAAAAACCAGCAUUACCUUUUUUUGGAAAAAUAUUGCAUUGGCAUAAGCACGCAUUCUGAGUUUUGCUCAAAUCAUCAUUAUGAAAUUCUCUAUGAUUCUGUGAAUUGUUGGUUGUGUUAUUUGAGUUCUAGGUUUGAGUUUGUUACACACUGAGCUUUAUAGCUCACUCCUUUGUUUAAUCUCUAACUUUUAAGGUAAUCUUUGAGUUUGGGAUCGGACGGCGUGCGGGAGCUCGGAUUGUUUUCUCGAUUAAAUAAAUAAGAUGGUUUACGUCUAUUUCUUUUCUGGACUUUUUGGACUAUAAAGUUACUUUUGGACUGGGUUUUUGGUUAUCGUUCUUUUUGUUGGAUUUGAUAUCUUUAACAUUAGACUACAUAAUCGUAGGAGUUAUCAAACUAAAAUUUUGUUUUCAAAACUAAGAAAUCUGAAAUUUCUGCUACAACGAUAAAGUAAUCACGUAUUUUUCUGUAAACAAAUAUCUGGUUUUUAACAAAUGUUUGCCUUAGUAUUGGAAAUGAUCUGCUAACGUUAGUACUUUCAAAACACGUAAUUUUGAAUUCAAAUUCUGGGUUUUAAAUAGGUGUUUUCAGACUUUGAUUUUGCUAAACAUCUAUGAGAGUUUUGCCAGUUUUUAUGUUUUCGAAAAAAUGAACUGAGUUUAAUUAAAACAAAAGUUUUUGAACAAGUUAACGUAAAUAUUGCUCAAUAUCUGGUCAUAACUUUUAUGCCGGGUUUGAGUUGUUACACAAUUACUCAUUCUUGCUAUAACCUUAUAACAUUAUUCUUUGACAUACGGGUGAAAUAAUUAUCUCAACUUGGUAAACAAAUUUGGUUUUCAUUUUACUUUUUGGUUUUAUUGGAAGCUGUUUCAAGCUGUUGUUCAAUCAAUGGUUGUAAUCCUUCUUUGAACGAGAGAAAAUUUGAAGCAGAUUGAAGUGUAGACUUGACUUAUUUUAAUUUAAGCAGGCAGUAUGAUAAUUUCUAGGUGUUUGGGGUUUUUCAUUUCUCUUGGGGCAUGGCUUUGAGGAUGAAAGAUGAUUUUUUAAAGAGAGGUUAUGCUUUACGAUUUGUUAUUAUUUUACCUUACAUGUGUUUCAUAUACUUUCUUAUUAUUUUUUAUGAUUUCUUAUUAUUUUUUAGUUGUCAUUUAUUUCGUUUAGCUGAGAUUUAAUUUAAGGUGUUUUUGAUAUAAGUAAGUUGUUCUAUUAAUUGUAAUAUCGUUACUUCAAUAAGGGUUUUGUAUGUAUGUAAACAAUCAAUUAAAACUAAAAAAUUUUCUAACGAAGUAGUCAUAUCCUAUUAAUUGUUUAACUUAGAUGUAUUACUUUAUUUUGAAAAAUUAACUGAAAACAUUUGAUCACCUAUAUACAUGUAAGUAUAUAUGUAUGUACACCUUGUAAAAACAUGAUUAUAUAUAAACGAUAACAUAACAGUAACAUCUAGAAUAUAUAAUUUAUCAACGGUUGUUAGCCUUCCAUAUAAACAUUUGAAUAGCCUUAUGUUACCAUAUAUAUAUAUAUAUAUAAUGAUGCUAAAUUUAUAAUAAUAAUAAAAUAUUCUCACCAAAACAACUCAUAAACACCAUUAGUUAGUAUUAACAAUAAUAAAGUUUAACUAAUGGAAAAAAGUUAUAAUAAUCAUGUCACUUUGUGUGCCAUGUGGUGAACCCAUGUGGUCAUGUCCGACAUACUAACCCAAAGAAAACAACAAAUUUCUUGAUAAAAAGUUUUAUCGAAUUCGACAACAAAAAUUAUAAAUAAAGACUCUCCCUUAAUUAAUUAAGUUUUUAAUAUAAAAUGAAUACUUUUAUAUGGUUCUACAUCUGUGUUUCAUCUUGUUCCAAUCAUUCUCAUUUUACUCCUCUUGCAAUAACCAAACACUUCUUUGCUUGAUUUCUGUUUGAACCUGCAAUGGCCGAAGCAAUUGCAUUCGACCUCGCCCUAGAGCUUAUUACUAAGUUGAGCUCCUUUACUCUCUCUCAAAUUGGACUGUGUUGGAAUGUCAAGGAUGACCUCGACGACCUCAAAAGCACCGUCUCUACAAUCAAAGCUGUGCUUCUUGACGCAGAAGAGCGAUCCGCGACCAGCCAACUCGUCAAAGAUUGGCUUGAAAAGCUGAAAGAUGUACUUUACGAUGCUGACGACUUGCUCGAUGAUUUCUUUACCGAAGCUUUGCGGAAAGAUCUAUUGGGUGGGAACAAGCUGACGAAAGAGGUACGCUUUUUCUUCUCGAGCUCAAACCAGUUUGCUUACGGUCUCAAAAUGGGUCGGAAAAUUAAGACCAUUAAGGCCAGGUUGAUUUCAAUUGGAAGUGAAGCCAAGGUGUUCAACUUGGUAGAGCGUGACCGUCCCAUGGAAACCUCUUUUAUGACGAAAAAGAGGCAGCUAACGCACUCUUUUAAAGAUAAAAUAAUAGGGAGGGACGAUGAUAAAACAGCUCUUCUAAAACUCGUGUUAGAGUUUGAAAGUGAAGAGAAUGUUUACAUCAUUCCAAUUGUGGGGUUUGGAGGAUUAGGGAAGACUGCUUUGGCUCAGUUUGUCUAUAAUGAUGAAAUGGUCAAAAAUCAUUUUGAGUUGAUGAUGUGGGUGUGUGUUUCAGAUGUUUUUGAUGUCAAAAUAAUUGUAGAAAACAUUAUCAAAUCUGCAACAGGCAAAGCACCCGAUCAAAAUCUCGAAAUGGACCAAUUGCAAAAACAACUUCGGGAAAAAAUUGGUGGGAAAAAAUAUUUGCUUGUUUUGGAUGACAUUUGGAAUGAUGAGUGGGAAAAAUGGGUUAGUUUAAAAGAGUUAUUGGUAGGUGGGGCUAAAGGAAGUAGGAUAAUAGUAACUACUCGUUCGUCUAAGGUAGCCAAGAUCACUAGUAAAUGUCAACCUUAUGUUCUGAACGGCUUGUCUGAUAAUGAUGCUUGGUCUUUGUUCAAAGAGAUAGCAUUUGAACAAAGAUCUGCAGACUCAACAGAUUCAGGCUUUGUGGAAAUAGGAAAGCUGAUUUUGGAAAGGUGUUGUGGAGUUCCCUUAGUCAUAAGGACGAUAGCUGGUACGUUAUCUUUCAAAGAAACUAAAAGUGAGUGGCUUUCUUUUAAAGAUAACGAACUUGCUGGAAUAUCUCAGAACGACGGUGAGAUAUUACCUACACUUAAGUUGAGUUAUGAUCAUCUCCCGUCUCAUUUGAAGCAUUGCUUUGCUUAUUGCCGAUUGUAUCCAAAAGAUUACAGAAUUAGAGUACAAGCGCUUGUUCAAUUUUGGAUUGCACAGGGUUUCAUAAAGCAAUUGAAUCAAAGUCAAUCUCUCGAGGAGAUCGGGUUUGGGUAUUUUAAAGAUUUAGUUGAAAGAAGUUUCUUUCAAGAGGUAGAAGGAGACUUGAUGGAAGAAAUGAGAUGUAAAAUGCAUGAUUUAAUGCAUGAUCUAGCUGAAUCAGUAGCAGGGAUGGAGAGUAGUAUUAUAGAUUCAAAUAACAUUGCAAGUGAUGUUGGUGAAAAGUGUCGCCACAUAUCAAUUAAUCCUUUAUUAAUUCCUUCAUUAAUUCCUUUGUUUAAGGGAAAAAAGUUGCGAACCUUGUUACGGCAUCCAAACAAUUUUUCUCGAAAUUUGAGCGAAGAAACUUGGGAUUUUGUAAUUGCAAAUUGUAGAUGCUUGCGUGUAUUGGAUUUGCAUUUGUUAGGUAUUCAGAUGAUUCCACCCUCCAUUUACAAGUUGAAACAUUUGAGGUACCUUGAUCUUUCUUAUAAUCGCGGUCUUAAGAUUCUCCCAAAGAGUAUUUGCAAGAUUCAGAAUUUGCUAGCGCUGAAACUUAACCUUUGUACUGGGCUUAAAGAAUUACCAAAGAAGAUUGAAAAAUUGGUGAAUCUUACCCAUCUUGGGUGUGAAGGUUGUUUUAGUUUAACUCAUAUGCCACGUGGAAUAGGGAAGCUGACUUCACUUUAGACGUUAAGCAUGUUUGUAGUGGAUAAAGAUGGGUCCCAUGGCGGUGCAGAUCUAAGUGAAUUGAGACUGCUUAACAACUUAAGGGGACGCCUAACAAUACGAAAUUUGGGAUCCGUAAAAAAUGCAAAAGAGAAGUUUAAGGCUGCUAAUUUGAAAGAGAAGCAACAUUUGAGCUCGUUGCAUUUGGAAUGGAAUGUCGAUAAUGAUGAUGAAGAUGAUAAUGUGAAGUCACUUGAAGACCUCCAGCCCCAUCCUAAUCUCAAGGAGCUCUAUAUUGCAGGAUGGAGGGGUGAUGCCAAGUUUCCAAGUUGGCUUUCUUUGCUCACAAAUCUCGUUGAUAUGAGAAUAUAUGGGGGUAAAUUCAAACAUCUCCCAUCCUUUGCUCAAUUUCCCUGUCUUCAAGAUUUGGUAAUUUGUGAUUUAACUGAGCUGGAGUACAUGGAUGAUAAUAGCCCAAAAGGAAGUCAAGGAGAACCACAAUCAUUCUUCCCAUCACUUAAGCAUCUUUCGCUCUUGGACUGUCCGAAUAUGAAGAAUUGGUGGAGGACGACAAAACCAAUCGAUGAUGAUUCCAACGAGGAAGACACAACAGUUAUUGGAACAUCAACCAUGGCAUUUCCUUGUCUUUCAUCUUUAAAAAUUAAAAAUUGCCCUUUGACUUUAAUGCCACUGUAUCCAUCAGUCGAUGAAGAUCUAAUGUUGUCGAAUACCAGUUCAAGGGCGUUAAAGCAGACCAUGAAGAUGAACAUCACUAGUACGACCCCAUCAACUUCAACCUCUUCUCUUCCACUCUCCAAAUUGAAAUCUUUCGAUGUACGCAACAUUGAGUGGUUGGACACUCACACGCUAGAUGAGUGCCUGCAACAUCUCGCCAGCCUCAAAAGAUUAACAAUAAGAGAUUGCAAGGAGGUUGAUUUAGAGGGCAUGCAAUGGGAACCCCUUAAGAAUCUCUCUCAUUUGGAGAUUGAUAAUAUUCCAAAACUGGUGUCUCUCCCCAUUUGGCUUCAACAUCUUGUUCAAUUGAAAACAUUAAAAAUUCAUAACUGCAAUGGAUUGAGGUCACUGCUUCCUGUGUUCCAACAUCUCACUUUCCUUGAAGAGUUUGAAGUAAAGGAUUGCAAGGAGCUGGAGUUAUCUGCAGCUGGCAUCCAAAUAUUCCAAGAUCAUACAAGCCUACGCUCUCUAAGGCUGCAAAAUAUUCCAAAGUGUCGGCAUCUUCCGGAGGGGCUUCAACAUCUAACAAAUCUGCAAGGGCUUUAUCUCGUUAAUUUGCCCAAUUUAACAUCUCUUCCGGACGAGAUGCGUUGCCUAACCAGUUUGAAGUCUUUACAAAUACAAGAAAUUCCUCAGUUGGAGGAAACAUGUCGGAAGGACAUUGGCGCUGAUUGGCAAAAGAUUGCUCACAUCCCCAACAUUCGGUUGAUUCAGGUUGGUCCCUCUUUGUUAUUUAUUUAUUUUGAUGACCUUAUCUUUUUUUGAAGAAAAAUAAGUGGUAUAUUGAAUCUCCAAGUCAGGGGUCUGAUGCCAUUUUUCAUUGAAGUUGGAUACUGUUAAUUUCCUUGUUAAAAUCUCUUUGUUUUAAUCCUACUUUUUACUUAUCAUCUUUCAUAAUAUUUUUGGUGAUUUGUGCAGUAAGGCAUUGGAGAAAGGCAUUAGUCAACUUCAAUCAUUUUGUAUGCAUAAAAAGAGGUGCUAAUUUAUCUAUUUGCUUUUUACUUUUAAAUCAUAAUAAUAACUUGACAAUUGCUUCUAAUAAUUUAAUUCUAAAAAAAUCAUUGAUGUGGAGGGAGAGGCCUAUGAAGCCUUCAAAAUCGUUAUAUUAUAUGCUCUGCUUUCUUCAUUUAAGCACUUACCUAUCAUAUCUUUAUAUAUAUUUAUGUUUUCUCUUAAUAUAUGCCAACUGGUUACUAUCUUAGUACCUGUGAUAUUGACAGACUUUAGAUGGAGCUUAUUCAGAGCUUGAUUCAUAGUAAGGAAAACCAUUUGAGCGUUGAAUGUAAAUUUUCACUGGCAUAGCUAAAAGGAGUUGGGAGAGAAUUUACUUCAUUGUACAAAAGUGAGAUUGCAUCAAGUGUUUGAGGGGUUAAGCUUAAAUCAUUUCUUUGUACUAUGAAGUUCAUAGUGGAUUCAUCUUUCGGCAAAGCCCCGCAGUUCAUAGUGGAUUCAUCUUUCGGCAAAGCCCCGCGGACGUAGGACGAGUUCCGAACAACAUAAACAUUUUAAUUGUGUUCUUUAUUUUCCUUGUUGCAUAAUAUGUACCAACUCAAUAAAAAACACAUUUUUAAUGUUCCAAACAGUAUUCAAAUGCAGGGAUGCACAAUUGAUUAUGAGACAAUAAUUGUUUUCGACGGCAUUCCAAGGCUAUGUUCAAUUAUAAUGCUUGGAUUAGGACCCCUCCAAAAGAUGUCGAUUUCCUGGCUGUAUAUACAUAUAACUUGUGUGUUGAUGCUUAUGUUGGCACGCAUUAAAUUACAAGUUGAAUAACACCUUGUAAUUUGUUCGUCAUUUAAACAAAACUUAAGGCUUUUCCUUUGGAAUCUUGAUGCGACGAGGUACUGCAAUCCUCGAAAGGAAGGAAGGACAUGGGCAAUGGCAGGGGCGUUUCUUGGUGAGCUAAGGAAAUCAAAGUCUCCUAGGAGGAUACUAGCCCAUCAAUUCCCUCUAUAUAGCAACAAUGAACCUGCAAACUAUAAAUAUCAAUAUACAGUAUGAUAAAAUUGAUCUCGUAUAGACCGAGCAGUGUCCAAAUGUUGAAGAAACACUUACUCUUACUAAAAACAUAACUCCAUAUUUUGUGCACAAAUGGUGGCCAAACACAAAUCCGGUGUCUAUGCUUUUUGAUUCCAAGUUUAAGAAAGGGCCAAACAUUGGGCAUCCUCAUCCUCAUCUGUAAUAGUAACCAAUUCACAUUCCUAUCCUCAAAACUCAAUUCCAACUUGAUCAAAUUUACUUUCAAAACAUAACUUGAUUCAAGAUAAAAAUAAACUUGGACUUCUUUACCUAGCAAAAGAUGAACAUGAUUCUCAAAAAUCCAAAGGUUUUCGAAACCUGACCAAUAGUAAAACUGAUCAAGCCACCAAUUCAUUGGUUCAACCAGUGCAAUUAAAUAAAUCAUUAAAAAAUUCAUAAAAAAUAAAAACUUGAUUCAACUGCUAGGUUCAACCAGUUUUUCGCCCAAUACAAUCAUCCAUACCGGUUCCUGGGUCAAUCGAUUCAAUGCCCUUCUCCGAACUAGGAUCCUGGUCCGGUUCAAAUAACCUUGACUAAACCUAAAAAACUAUUUGUCUUAAGUUCGGAUUUCAAUUGGUAUUCUCAAUAUUAGUUCAAAAAAGAAAAACCCUUAAUGUAGGCUUACAAACCACUCUAAGUCAGACAUUAAGGUAUUUAAAUUUGGCUCACUCAAUAGCCCAAGCUUGGCUAACCAAUAAUUAAACCGAAUUCCGCUAACAUUAGCAAAACCAAAACACGAAAAUCUCAACUGUAAAUAAGUUAGAGAUAAAUUUCAACCAAAAAGUGAAAAAACAUGAAGGAAGCAAUAGAAGUAGAAAAAUAACUGGAUUCAUAUAAUCAUAUGAUUAUAUAUAGAUGCCAUUGGUCACAAACUCAAAUAUACAAUGGACCGAUUUCGUACAAACAACAAGAUUGAUCCAAUGAUUAUCAUCACGAUGCACCAAUUCUACACAUCCACAUUUAGUAAGGCUGCUUUUUCAAUUUUGAUAUGUAAAACACUAAUGACAAAUUAAGCAACUCAGAUAAAGAAAAGGAUGUUGUUAAUGUGCAUAUAUAACCAGAUUAGAUAGACCAGAAUUCUGAUGCCGACGCUUUUUAUUUCUAUAACUAAAACCAUGGGAUAGGAAAAAUAGCUCAACCUUGAAGAAAAUUGGAAUAACCCCUAGCUGGCAUUUGUUCUGCAGAAUUUGGUCAGGAAAAAUAAUCUUGCCAAUCGAGUUGAUUUAAAAUCAGAAGAUGGCACUUCGGUCAUUCUAGAAGGUAGAGUUUCUGGGCUUGGUGUACGACCUCAGCCAUUCCAAAGUCUGAAUGAAGCACAUCGACUCCGCUCCCUUCAACACCUGUCAUUCUAGGAGUUAAGGAUUACACAUUCACCUGUUGUACCUCUGAAUGUAUAAAUAAGUUCGUGUGCUUUUUUCCCGUCUUUGGGGGGUUAAGCAGAUAGAGUAGCUAAAAUUUAUAGAAGGAUACAAUCUGUCUUCCACAUAUCCAUAAUGCUAACAUCGGCAUCUGAUAGAAGCCAAUAAUCCGCAUCAUUCUGAAAACAAGGGCAAAAAAAGUUAAUAGACAAAAUUAUCAAUUUUCGUGCAAGAUGAAGUCCUAGGGGGAGAAAGUGUUUGAAUCUUGGACCUUACCCCCCUAAAGAGGGGUAACCAAGGCUUCUAAUGAAUUAUUCCAGAUUACCUAAAUUCAUAAAUAAUCUUUGACACGAACCACUGUCCAUAUAUUUGAUGUUUGUAAAGCUUGGCUAGUGUAAUAACUGGUCAAGAAAAAUGGCACUUACGUCCAUAUCCGACAGAACAAUUCUCAUCAUUCCCCCAACAGACUAUUGUGAAGCAUUUAUAUCAGAGCAGAUCUGAUGAGUUUGCUGUGCCUGUGGUUCAAUCUCCUUUCGGAUGCUCACUGUAUUGACCAACUCAACUUGGUUUUCAUUAGAGCCAGAACUUAAAGCAAGUGGGACACUCAGAGGUUGUUCAACACCAUUCAUCUCUUCAAAUUUCUCCUCAAAUUGGCUGAGGAAGCAAAAAUGGAAAAGAAAGACAUUAAAACAACCUAUCUUCUUAUCAUCAAUUAAACUUAUUCCAAAGAACACCUGACAAGGUAAACAAAAAUCGGACCCAUUGUGCUUCUAAGGAAUAUCCCGUAUAUCCUUUGUCGGUAAUCAACAUCCUGUAAUAUAUAGGAGCAAUGCAACAAUGCGUUUAAAUCAUGAAAGUGGAAAAUGGUAGUAACUCGUUAAAAUUCUCUAUGCCAUCUUACUUCAUCAGGAUCAGGUACUUCGAGAGUUGUUCCAUGUGGAGCUUUAAUUGCUAUCAGGGUUUCAUUCUGCCAAAACCAAGGUGUCUUGAAGAUUAGUAUCAAAUGCAGAAUAUCAUUGCAGAAGUGUUAAUUUAGAGGCAUGAAAUAAACGAACCUGAAAACAAGGUAUACCCUUGAUGUCCUCUUCAGUCACAAAAAGCAACCUGAAACAGUGUGAAGAUAUGUAAACGUAUAAUUUUUUUGCAAACAAUUAGCUGUUAAACUUCCAUUAAUUGGAUCACAGUGCAAGGCAGACAAGAAAAUCGUACUUCUGAUUGCUGUCAUUCUCACUCAAAUCCCUCAACCUUUCCUGCAUUUCUGUGCAAUAUUUUAGAAGCAUCAGCAUUCCUAAACAGGUUCAAGAUAGUAAUAGUUGCUACUUCAACAAGAGAAUAAACCAUGCACAACCUUAUUUGAUCAUCUAAUCUCCUCUCUUCCAUGGAAAGGUUCUCAAUUUCCUCCUGCAUUAAAGAAUAGAAAUUAAGCUCACAGGUAUGAGAAAUAAGCAGCACAAAUCAAUCAAUCGGUAGUGAUUGAAAAUUCUCUUGAAAGUCAUUACCAAAAAUAAAGAAACAGAAAACAUCCUAAUGAACGAUAUCAAGAAAAUUUGUUGGCUGGAUGUCAAUGAAAUGAAAAUUGACAUUACUUUCACGUACCUGUAUUACAGAGACAUGGCCAUCUGUUUCUCCUGGCUUUGAAGCACCAACACCCCUAGUAAAUUUGAUUAAUCCUCAAAUAAGUCUCACAUUUUUCAAAGGUUAACCAGAAUGACAAACCAAAUUAAGACAUCAAAUUCUUGAAAAAUGAUUAACAUCAUCAGUAAUUACUUCCAAUGUAUUCUGUUUUUGAACUUCUUUUCUAUAAGACCAAUGCCCUCCAAGACAUUUGUUAUAUCAUAUAUCCUCCUCUUCUGCACCUGUUACAACAUUUCCAGGGAAAGUUAAAAGACAAAAGAACCCUUUAAGUAACAUGAAAAAAAUACUCAACAAACACCCAAUGGUACAUAAGCUCACUAGUAUGUCAUUACCUCCAAUGUUUCUGCAGCCUUAUUUAUGUCAAGGAUACCAUCUUCAGCAUGCUUCAUCAGAUUGACAAACUUUUUCGCCAACAGACCUAAAAAUGGUGACUGCAUUAUUGUCGUUCUCACCAUCCAUAGCAGGUUAAGGAGCUAAAACAGAUUAUGUUAAAAGAAAAAAGAAUGGGCAGAAAAGAUUACCUAAAGGACUAUCUAAACAGCAGCUGCCAGCAGGUCUAAGAGGAGAUGGACAACCUGCCAAUUAUCGUAUAUAAUGUUAGUGAUUCCUCUUCUACAAAAUCCAUCUCUCUUAAUUCAAGCAAUGAGGUAUUGAUGAUAGAGCCGUGAAGUGAAUCAUAAGUUUCCUUCUAUGGACUAAGCCAGUAGGAAAUAGUAUCGCACCAGCAUUUGACACAGAUGUGUGAGGCAUUGAUUUGCUGGCUUUUGAUGUCUUUGAUCUAUUAUUUAUCCUUCCUCCUUUAGCAUAUACAGGUAACCCCCGGACUGCUUGUCCAUUGGCUAGACUCAACAUCAUUUUUGUCUGCUGCGCUCUUCCUUUUUAAUUGCUGAGAAAAAUCAGCAAUAUUUCAAAGUACUGCCAAUGGCAGGCAAAAUUACAAGGUCCCUUAGUAUUUGUGCACGGUUAUAUCUACGUUAACAACCAAUUGAAUUGAAGAAAAAUAAAAUAAAAAAGAGCAUAAGUUUAACAAAUACAUAUGUACGAGAGCUUGUACAAAAAAACUUACUGUUAGCCAUAAGAACCAUCAGAAAUGCUUCGCUACUUGAUUCAAAAGUUAAUUCACAAAGGCCAAAACUCAAAGAGAUAAAUGCCAUGACAAAAUCAAGUAAAGUAACUAGUAAUUCACUUGUUAUCGAGUUGAAGACAAUAAAGAAAAAGAAUAUAAUAUACGAAUAUAAUUUUGUCCGAUAAACUAGCAGAGCAGUCGUAUUAUACAUAAGGGGGAAACUAUAGUGGUAGGCAUUAUGGAUAUCAACUGAAUCAUUUUUUCAAACAUCCAUCAAAGACAAAACAUCAAAAGAACUAACACCCAUCAAGCUUUCUUCAUAUAGAGCACGGCAUUAAAUGUUUAGCUUUAAACCGAGAAUGGAGUAGCAUAACAUAACCUUCCUCUCUUACUAUAGCAUUUAUAUUACAUAAAACAAACAUACUAUCAAUAGCAAUUAUAUUUGAUAGUUCUAAAACUUAGCUUUCUCAAAUUAAGGCAUCAAAAUGUUCAAAUCAUCAAGUUUUGGACAUUGGAUGAGGCCAGCAUUCAUUCAGUUUCAACUUAGUACAGCAAACGAGCACUUUAAUCUACCAAAACUCCACUAUAUCAUCAAAUACAUCAUCACAAACGGAAAUACCUCACAUAUUAAAAUACAGACAUCACAAUUUCCUGCAGAAACAAAUAAUGCUACUCAUAAUUUAUCCCCUAAGAAACUUAGCCACCAUGAAAAGCUCUAUUUGUGAACAGAUCAAAAGAUCACACGCAAAAAAAAAAAGAAAAAGAAAAGCAAAUGACAUUAAGCGUUAAGUGAGAGUACAAUUCUCAUCAAAAUUGAAAUAAUAUAAGACUAAUUACAUGAUAGCUACCGUUUUCAACAGAGAAUUUUUGAACUCACUGGAGAUCUCACAACAAUUGCUUCAACUUCUUGAUCGGCGACUAUUCCACGACCAUUAAUAGAUGAAAAUCUGUGAUAAUCAUCGGGAUGAACAAACGGCGGCUUCGUCGAAUCGAAGGCCAGGUGACGACGUAUCGGCGGAACAACCGGAGGAACCGUCGAAGCUGGUACUGUUGAAGCGUAGGAGGAGGUUGAUACGGCAGCGUGAGACCAUCCCGGAAAAGAGAGAGAAAGUGAGAGUUUUAGUUCAGACAUUAGAGAGAGUAGAAAAGGAGGGAAAAGAGAGGGAAUCUUUUGCAUAUAAUUAUAAGUUAAUGUGCCAAUUUCAUUUGUUUUUACCUUCUUGAACUCUUACUUUUUUCAAUUUUUCAAUUUCAUCCUAAAAUAAAAUUCAAAUAUGUAUAUAAGGGUUAAAGUACCGGUAUUAUAGGGACUGCAUACAAAUUAGUUACUCUAUCAUUAAAUGGUUAAUUUAUUACCUGUACUAUUAAAAUUGAUCAAAUAAAGUUAAAUUAUAAUAAAGUUAACAUUUAUUUUAUAAAAAAACAUAUUGAAAUUUGUUAAUUCUACUAAUGUUAAAUCUCUUACAAUUUAAUCUUAUUUGGUUCUUUUUAGUAGUAUUGGGAUAAAUUAGUCCAUUUAAUAAUAGAGGGACUAAUUUUAAACUUUCCAAAUAUUUUAAUCCUUAUAUAAGCUAAAAUAUUAUUUUUAAAAAAUUAAUCAAUACACUUGUCUAUAAUUUGGUUAGGGUACAAUUCUUUUUUUUUUUUUUUUUUCUUCACGCUGACCCUAUCUCAUUGUUCUUUUAAUAUUAAAAAUUAAAAAUUUAGUAAUAUUUAUAUAUUUUUUAUAAUCGUGUUAAAUAAGUAAUUUAGUGAGUUUGAAUAUUGUAGCGGUGAUAUUAAAAUUAAUUGUGGAAUAUGUAUUUAAAUUUAAAUACAGAUGUAGCAAUGAGAUAAAAAUAGAAAAUUACUAUUAAGAACAUUAAGGUAAAACGUAUGUAUAUGUAAAAUAAAUAAUUAAGAAUAUAUUUAAAAAUAAAAUAUUUUAAAUAAUAAUUAAAAAGAUCAAAACUAUGCUUAUAUUAAAAAAUAAUUAAAAUUAUAUUUUAUAUUAAAUUAUAAAAUAUACAUAAGAAUUGUAUGUUUGAAUUUUUUUAUUAAAUUAAUAGUUAAAAUCAGUAAAAAAUUUAUUUCAUUAUUAUUUACUUUCAAAAUUUUAUGUUUGAAUUUUUUUAUUGUUGCACUAUUUUAAUUAUGUACCACAAUUAGAAUAAUAUUAUUUUUGAACUAAUUACAUAAAAUAAAAAUAUAAUAUUCAGUGAAUAAAAAAUAAAUAUAUAAAAUCACAUAUAAUAAUAUUCAAUGAAUAAUAUCAAACCCCUAGUACUUGAAAGUAGCUAUAGAGACCAAUCAUGGCAGAAGCCAAAAUUCCAAGCGUCUAAUUGUUAUUUUUCUCUUUAUUUUCCUUAUCAAAAUACAAGUAAUUUUCAAUAAUGUAACAACGUGAAAGCUGAAAGCUUAAUUCCAAGCAUUCAAAUAAACUAUAACUAUAAAAGAAUAAAUGUAGCCAAAUUUGGAAUUAAAUUUUUCAAAAAUUUUUAACAGCUUAAUGAGAAUUUUAAUAAAAGGGUCUAAUUAAAAUUUAGAAAAUUAUUAAAGGGUUUAAAUAAAAUUUAAAAAAAUUGAGGAGUCUAAUUUUUUUUUUUAAAUUGAGGGCUUAAUGAAAAUUUUCCAAAUUUGGGAGUAGGGGCAAGGGGAGCUUUGAUUCUUGUAACCUUCCGUCCCAAGUAAUUUCUUUUAAGAGAAAUUUAUUAUUUCAUUCAAUGAAUAAAUGAACAAUUCAAGAAAAAAAAUAACAAACACUCGUACGCACUAAAGAACAAGCUCCAUCAACAUAAUAAAAGUUUUAGCUUUAACUCAAUAGAAUAUCAUGACACGUUAACAAUCGGCUCUGUCACAACUCAAGCACAACAUAUUAGAAGCGAUUACAAGCACUUAAUACAAUAAGAAAAUCAACCCCAGAUGGCCCAAAGCGGCGAGCAUAAAUCGGCAAAAGAACCAAGCAUCCACCAAACUAGAUAAGACAACGACUAAACCAACCCUAAAAUUAUUUUCAAAAGCAAAACUAAAUGCAUAUAAUCAAGACUAAAAAGUAUACUAUAAGAGCAGAAAAAACUUCUAAAAGUGAAUACUUAUUAAACAAUAAAAAAAAUAUAAAAUAUAAAACUUAAGAUAAUACGAGUCAUGAAAUCAUUUAUUAUUUUGAAACUCUCAAAACAGAAACAUAUUAAGAAGUCAACUCUAAAAUUGUAUUGCUAAGUGGACCUUAAUCGAAGAUGCAAGAAUAAAAGAAAUAAGGAUUAAAUUCUACCAUAGAAAUUCUGAAAAAAAAAACCUUAAUGUAUCGAAAAAUAAUUUCUAUUAAUCACACAAUUUUCUAGAAAUUGCAAACAUUUAGAUUUUGUUCACAUAUUAAUUGCCUUUUUUUUUUUCUAUUUCCCCCUAUUUACUAUUACAAAAUUAAAAUCCCCCAAGUCCUAUUUAUAUAUUUUAAAAUUUAGAAUUUAGUUUGUAUAUUUUUAUUUUUAAGAAUUUAGUCCCCAUAUUUUUAAAAUUUUAAAAUUCAAGUCAAAUUGUUAACACUGUCAAAAUUAUUUUAUUAAAGUCAGGUUCAUUAAAAUCUCAUAUUCUUAGUUAGAAGGCUACCAAGUAAGUAAUUUUUUUUAUUUCAAACUCUCACACUAACAAAUUUAACAAAAAAAAACAUUAUUAACAUUUGGACCUGAAAUUUGAACUUUGAAAAGUAAAAGAAUUAAAUUCCUAUAAAUAUAAGUAUAGAGACUAAGUUUCAAAUUUAUGGUGACUACAAGGACAUAUGGCAUAUUUUAACCUAAAAAAGGGUGACCUACUUUAGUAGUCACCCAACUAAGUUUUUUUUUCUUUUUUGGUCACUCAAUUAUGAAAACUUACAAAAUAGUCGCCCAACGAUUCAAUUUUAUCAUUUUUAUCAUCAGUUGGCUAAUGAAAAAAUAGAAAACACCAAAAAUCCAAGAUAAUUGGGUGAAAAAAAAGGAAAAAAAUAAUAGUUUAUUAAUUAUUUUGUGAAUUUUCAUAAUUAGGUAAAAAAUACUAAUAAUUUAGUGAUCAUUUUGUAAAUUUUUAAAUAGUUGAAAGACUUUUAAUAUAGUUUACCCAAAAAAAAUAUUAACGGCGUCAAAUAGAAAACGAGAUAACAAAGAUAAACAAAACGAUGUACUUAACGACGUUACUUCCUUCUUCUCCAACCAAAACGCCGUCGCUUUGUUCCCCAAACGUAAUAUAAGCCGGACACCUUACAUUUAAUAAUAAAUGUGUUAUAAUUAUUUAUAUUUAUAUAAAUGUCUCCAAUCAUAUUUGAGCGAACAUUUAAUGCUCAAAUUAACGGCUAAGUUAAUAGAAAAAUAGGAUAAAUCUCAAAAUUAUAUAUAAAUUUUGGCAUAAUAUGUAAUUUUAUACACGAAAUUUCAAUUUAAUUCAAUUUUCACAAAUUAUUAACACAAUUAUUAAUAUAACAUCAUUUUAUGUUUAUAUAUUGCAUAAACAAAUAAUUAUAUUUAUCCACUACAAAAAUAAAUUGAUGUAUCUAUUUCUUUAAAUAUGUAUGGUUGAAUCAAAAUAAAAGUUUAUGUAUAAUUUUAAGAUUUUUCUCUAGAAAAAUCAAAUUGGUAUAAUUAUGAUAUCUUAAGAAUUCAAUUAGAAUGUUAUUUGGGUUAUAAUUUGCGAAUGUAUAGUGCAAGCAAUCAUUUUAUAUGUUUUAAUUUUAUUUAUCAUCUUAUCUUAAAUGAAAAUUAUUUCAUUCAUUACUGAUAAAGUUUAAAAAUUAAACAAAUAGAGUUAAAUGGGUAACACAUACCUCUUUAAAGUGAAGUAAAAUAAUUUUUAAUGAAACUUGUGAUAUUAAAAUUUUUCAUUGAAAUGCUAAACUUAUUUAAAUAAAUAUUUUUUAGAGUUAAUGCACUAUUUGGACAUGAACUUGAUAAUUGUUUUCAUAUUAGAGUUUGAACUUUUUUGUUUCAAGUUAAUCCUUCAAUUUGACAAUUGUUUUCACAUUGAGGUCUUUUUUUUUUUUGGUUCAAGAUAGUCAGAUUUCUUUUAAAAAAAUAUUCAAGACUCCAAUAUGGAAAUAAUUACCAAGUUUAGAAGUUAACUUGAACAAAAGAAAAGUCUAAGCUAUGGGAACCGUUUCCUAUUCUAAGCCCUAAUAUGACAACAAUUACUAAGUUCAAAAAUUAACUUGAACAAAAGAAAAAUUCAAACCUUCAAAGUGAGAAUCGUUGUUUAAUCUAAAUCUUAUUGUGGGAAUAAGUGCCAAGUUCAAAGAUUAACUUAGAUAAAAUAUUUAAACCCUAAUAUAAGAAUAACUACAAAAUUUAGACCCCAAAUAGUGUUUGAAUUUGUUAUUUUGUUUGCCUAAUCCAUUUUGCAAUGCGAGCUGGGGGUGGCUUUUAAUUUUGAGGUUUACCAAGUAGAAAAAAAUACAUUAUUUUUCUAUUGAAAAGUGUCGUUGACAUUAAGAGAGGGUUAGAUUCUUGCAAGUGAGUAUUUAAUAAUGAGGAAAAACACAAGAUGAAAGAGAAAAAUUGGAGAGACCCUUUUAUGAGAGAAAAUUAGAGUUUGGGUCCUUGGAUUCAUAAUAUCUUAACACCUUGGAUUUCAUGGCUUUGGCUCCUUCGUCUGUUUUCUUUGGUAGAUUUUUCAUUGGUUUCAUAUUGUGCGCUCAGCUUUUGAAGCUCUUUUCUCCCACAUAUUUCAAUUAUUUGUACGGAUCCACAUCGACAAAUUUUGCUCAAGUUGAUGUAAUUGUGGAGAGCACCCGAAGUGUCAUCAUCCCAACUUCAUUUAGAUGCAAAAAAAAGAGGUGGUAAUUACUUAAUUGCUUUACAUUUUUAAAUCAUAAUAAUCUCACAAUUUCAAAUGAUCUAAUAAGUAAUAACUCCCAUGAAAUCCUCCUCUGUAUGCACAUUUGUUCUUUCUUUUCUUUUUUUCUUUGUUGAAGAGUCCCUCUGAUGAUCUAAUCCUAAUUUUUGUUAGAUUUUGGCUCUCUUCUUCGGCAGAGCAUGGCAUAUAUUACAAGAAGCAGAGGUUAUAUAUGUUCAACUACGAUCUGUUCAUCUGCCAAAAUAUUCCAACAAAACAAAAAUGAUAAUACAUGUCAUCAGUUUCCUUAUAAUUUCCAAUUAACUUGAUACAAAAUUAUAUAUGGAGUAUUUCAAGAGUUGUAAUAUAUAUGCCAACAACUUAUAUGGUACCUAAGCUAUUGACAGAUUCUUUGGAGUUGUGUUGGAAAGAGCUUAAACACGCAAUGUCGUUUUCAAGUAAGUAAAUUGAAUAGGGGCUAAGGAUUAAGGGUUGAUGAAAAUGGAGGGGGAAGAAGGGGAUAGUUCACAAUAUUCAUUGAUGCAGGGCACCUAUUUUAGCUGUUUGAUUUUUUAAGGUUGAAUCAGGAAAGGAUCUUGCUUCAGAAUAUUCGGUGUUGAGGUUGAUGUUAAUAAAACCUGAUUGUUAUAGAUAAGUAGUUACAGCACAUCUUUGUAUCUGAAAAUUAUGGGUUUAUUUAGUUUAUAUUCCUUCUCUUGUUGUUAAGAGUUCUAUUGUGAGUAUUAUUAUGUUAGUGCCUAGUUUUUAGUUUUUCUAUUAUGUAAAAGCCUAUAUAAAUAGGUUCUUGGAUUAUGAAUUAUUUUACUCAUCAUUUUAUUUUUCCCUUUCCUUUUUUAUUUUCAUCUUCUUGUUAUCUCUCUCCAUAAGUUAACAGUGGUGUCAGAGCUAGUUAAAAGAAGAGUAUUUUCGGUGAGAGGAAAAAGUUUGUGGUCCUCUUAUAGCUUCUGAAAAUUUUGUACAACCAGCUAUUCCACAUUUUGAUGGUCACUAUGAUCAUUGGAUCAUGUUGAUGGAGAACUUCUUCCGGGUGUGUGUGAGGCCGUGUGGGCCAUACGGGCUAGCCAAUUCAGCUGUGUGGACCCAUUUUCUGAAAAAAUUCACCUAGGUCUGUUUGACUCUAAAAUUUGUAAUUAGACUUUUGAUAGGGCCAUGCUACUUAAUUAAGGCUUGGAAACAAUGUAUUUGUUAAUAUGCUUAUGUGUAUAAUGUGUUUAAGUUAUGUGGAAUAUAUUUGCGUGAUCUGAUAAUGAUAGUUCUCAUAGUAUGUCCUGAUUCGCUAUGUCUGUAUAUGUGUGUAUGAUGUGUGAUUAUGUUAAUUUGUAUUUCCAAAUCGGCCAUAUGACCAUGCAUGUGGCAUGUGGCAUUGUGGCUUUUCUGUUAAGGUGAUUUGUAAUUAUGAUAUAUCUAUAUACAAAGCAUGAAAUGACAUGCUUACUGAUUUUUGUUAACAGCAUGAAUGCAUGUUCAACAUGCUUAUCAUUUUGUUUUAGUUUAUGCAUGCCAUGUUACAUUGCAUGGGGUUGGGAUAUUAUGGUUAUAGAGAAAAUGUCAGCAGUUUAAUCAUCUGUAUUAUCUGGUGAUUUAUUCACAUUUCUGUCUACAUUUAUGGUGGCUCGCCCAUACACAUAUGUUGUUUUGACAACUUGGCUACAAUAUAGUGACUUGUCCACAUAUAUUUGAUCUGAUAGUUUUAACUGCAAUCUCUAGUGGCAUUGACUAGAAUUAUUAUGUUGUGUGAUUAGAUGGACGAGUUUUGUGGAACUCUAUUUGGUGUGGACCGAAGUUGGGCAGGAUGUUUUCUAUAUAUAUAUAUAUAUAUAUAAAACUAGCAUUACAUUUUUUGGAAAAAUAUGCAUUGGCGUAAGCACACAUUCUCAAUUUUGUUCAAAUUAUCGUUAUGAAAUUCUUUGUGAUUCUGUGAAUUGUUGGUUGUGUUAUUUGAGUUCUAGGUUUGAGUUUGUUACACCCUAAGCUUUAUAGCUCACCUCUUUAUUUAAUCUCUGACUUUUAAGGUAAUCUUUGAGUUUGGGAUCGGACGGUAUGCAUGAGCUCGGAUUGUUUUCUCGAUUAAAUAAAUAAGAUGGUUUAUGUCUAUAGCUUUUCUGGACUUUUUGGACUGUAAAAUUGUUUUUGGACUGGGUUUUUGGUUAUCGUUCUUUUUGUUGGAUUUGAUAUUUUUAACAUUAGGCAGCAUAAUUGUAGGAGCUAUCAAACUAAAAUUUUGUUUUCAAAACUAAGAAAUAUGAAAUUUUUGCUGCAACGAUUAAGUAAUCACGUAUUUUUCUGUAAACAUUUGUUGGUUUUAACAAAUUUUUGCCUUAGUAUUGGAAAUGAUCUGCCAACGUUAUUACUUUCAAAACACGCAAUUUUGAAUUUAAAUUCUAGGUUUUAAAUAGGUGUUUUCAGAUUUUGGCUUUUCUAAACAUCUAUUGGAGUUUUGCCAAUUUUUAUGUUUUCGAAACAUGCACUGAGUUUGAUUAAAACAAAAGUUUUUGAACAAGUUGAUGUAAAUAUUCGUUAAUAUUCGAUCAUAACUUUUAUGCCGGGUUUGGGAUGUUACACAAUUACUCAUUCUUGCUAUAACGUCAUAAUGUUAUCAUUAAAAAAUUCAGGUUGUGAUACUCUGUCAAUUAAGUUUUACUUUUAUAGGUGUUUACAGCCUAGAAGAUAAUUUUUUAGUGGACUUAUUCUUUGCCAUAUGGAUGAAAUAAUUAUCUCAACUUGGUAAACAAUUUUGGUUUUAUUGGAAGCUGUUUCAAGGCUUUGUUCAAUCAAUGGUUGUAAUCCUUCUUUAAACGAGAGAGAAUUUGAAGCAGACUGAAGUGUAGACUUGACUUAUUUUAAUUCAAGCAAGCACUAUGAUAAUUUUUAGGCGUUUGGGGUUUUUCAUUUCUUUUGGGGGCAUGGUUUUGAGGAUGAAAGAUGAUUUUUUAAAGAGAGGUUAUGCUUUACGAUUUGUUAUUAUUUUACCUUUGACAUGGGUUCAUAUACUUUGUUAUUAUUUUUAUGAUUUGUUAUUAUAUUUUAGUUGUCAUUUAUUUCAUUUAGGUGAUAUUUAAUUUAAAGUGUUUUGGGUAUGAGUAAUGUGUUCUAUUAAUUGUAAUAUCGUUAUCUCAUUAGGGGUUUUGUAUGUACGUGAAUAAUCAAUUAAAAUCAAAAUUUUUUUAACGAAACAGUCAUGUCCUUUAAUUGUUUAACUUAGAUGUAUUACUUUAUUUUGAAAAAUUAACUGAAAAUAUUAUUGUUAAUAAUAAAUAAAAUGCCACUACUGUUAAUAAUAUAUAUUAACAUAUUUUAUCACCUAUAUAUAUGUAUGUAUACCUUGUAGACACAUAAUUAUAUAUAAAUGAUAACACAACGAUAACAUAUAGAAUUUAUCAACGGUUAUUAAUUCUCCAUAUAAACGUUUGAAUACCCUUAUGUUACCAUACAUAUAUAUAUAUAUAUAUAUAAUGAUGCUAAAUUUAUAAUAAUAAUAAAAUAUCUCACCAAAACAACUCAUAAACAACAUUAGUAUUAACAAUAAUAAAGUUUAACUAAUAAAAAAAAGUUAUAAUUAUAUGUAGUGUUGAUGGUAAUAUAAAAAUGAAAAUGAUGAACCCCACUUACAAUAAACAAAUAUAUGUUAAUAAUAUAUAUUAACAAAUAUAAAGCAAUAUUAAUAAUAAGAGUAUAGUUAAUUGUUACCAAAGUGAAGUUAAAUUGCCAAUGCUCAAUGCAUGGGUUAUUGAGAAAUUUGUGCCAAAAUUUGUCAUUUUGUGUGCCAUGUGGUGAACCCAUGUGGCCAUGUCCGACCAAUUAACAUUACCUGUUUUUUUUUUCCAUGGGAUUUGUCUCCUUUUUCUCUUUUCUUUCAUAGCUUUUUCAUUAAUUUCAAUUAUUUGUACGGCUCCACAUUGUGCAGAGCACCCCAAGUGUCAUCAUCCCAACUUUGUCUCCAUCCAGAAAUUUGUGUCAAGCAGUAAACAUGGAGGGACCAUUUCCCACCAAUCAAUCAACAUGACUUUAACAUGGAGGGACCAUUUCCUAGUUCCCACCAAUCAACAUUGUUUCUAUAAAGACUAAUUAAGCAACUCAGAUAAAGAAAAGGAUGUUGUUAAUGUGCAUAUAUAACCAGAUUAGAUAGACCAGGAUUCUGAUGCCGACACUUUUUAUUUCUAUACCUAAAACCAUGGGAUAGGAAAAAUAGCUCAACCCUGAAGAAAGUUAGAAUAACCCCUAGCUGGCAUUUGUUCUGCAGAAUUUGGUCAGGAAAAAUAAUCUUACCUAUCGAGUUGAUUUAAAAUUGGAAGAUGGCACGUCGGUCAUUCUAGAAGGUAGAGUUCUGGCCUUGAGGUACGACAUUAGCCUUUCCAAAGUCUGAAUGAAGCAUAUCUACUCCGCUCCCUUCAACACCUGUCAUUCAAGGAGUUAAGGAUUACACAUUCACCUGUUGUAACUCUGAAUGUAUAAAUAAGUUUGUGUGCUUUUUUCCUGGCUUUUGGGGGGUUAAGCAGAUAGAUUAGCUAAAAUUUAUUGAAGGAUACAAUCUGUCUUCCACAUAAUCAUAAUGCUAACAUCGGCAUCUGAUAGAAGCCAAAAAUCCGCAUCAUUCUGAAAACAAGGGCAAAAAAAGUUAAUAGACAAAAUUAUCAAUUUUGGUGCAAGGUGAAGUCCUAGGGGGAGAAGGUGUUUGAAUCUUGGACCUUACCCUCCUAAAGAGGGUAACCAAGGCUUCUAAUGAAUUAUUCCAGAUUACCUAAAUUCAUAAAAAUCUUUGACAUGAACCACUUGUCGAAACCACUUUCUUGAAAUAAAAGAUUUAGUUGUCGACUUAUUAAAAAUGAAAAUUGGAGUUGCCACCGAUCUUUUAAUGAGGUGUGAUCGGAUCACCUUGAAAACGAUUUUAGGUCUGAGAAUUUUGAGAAAAUAGGUUCGGGAGUCGGUUACGCACGAGGAAGGGUUAGCACCCUCGUAACACCCAAAAUUGGUACCGAAUUGAUUGUUUAAUGUCUUAGUGUCGAGAAUUUGAAAAGAUUUUAAAAUACGAUCCUUUGAAAAGAAAAUUUGAAUGAAUUGGAUGAUGAGACUCUCUUAUUUUAAAGAAAUAAAUUGUCACACUCAAUAAGUUAGAGUGCAACAUUUUACAUCCUCAAAAUUAAGUUUAUCUUUUGACUUUUAAAACCUAUGCAUUAUGAGAAGGAUAUCCGAUUAUUUGGGUCAAAUGAAAAAAAUCAAAACUCAGUAAGUUAGGGUUCGAUUUCACAAAAUUCCUAAACAUUGAAUAUUGCCUUUAUUUUUAUUUAUUAUAUUUUUUAGAGAAAAUCCUCAUCUUGAGAAAACUACGUGUCAUAUCCAAUGCGUUAGGACAUAACGUAUCGAAUUCCCGAGAAUGAGCUUUUUAUUUAUAUUUUAAUUAAAAAGGAUACUCGGUUUCUUAGAUUCAACGAGGAAGAUCGGAAUCCAGUAAGUUAGGACACAAUCUUUUCGAGGAUCCCAAAUUCCGAGUGUCGCGUUAUUUUGAAAGACUUUUGUAUAAAACAAUUUUGAUAUUUAAAUGAUAUGAAACGUAACCUUUUAAGCAAAUAAAAUGCGAUAGAGUGAUAACGUACAACAUGAAAUGAUAAUUCGUGAGCCGAAAUGUACGAUAAUGAAUUCAAACGAUCAAUAAAUACAAACAAGCAAUAUAAUAUACACAAUAACAAUAAUCUCACAUCAUAUGUGAAUAUUAACACCAACAUUUGAAAGCUAAUGACCCAAAAGCCUACCACAAAAGAAAUGUAACAAAUUUAAAAUAGCUAAAAGACAAGUAGCAUGAAAAAAGAAAUUUGAAAUUAUUAAUGUAUAUACACAAAUUUACAUAUAUAUAAAUUUAAAAAAAGAAUUAAUGUGAAGACUUGAAAUAAUUUGAAAAUAGAAUUAAAAAUAAACAACAAUAUUUAAGUGAAUUUUUUAAAGUAAGUAUUAUAAGGAAAAAAUCAAAAUAAAUAAAACAUAAAAUACUACACAUAUAUUAAUCUAAAUAUGUAAUACAUUUGAAAUGAAGCACUCAAUAUAAACAAUAAUAUAUAUAUAAAUAUACAAUAAUAUAUGUAAAAGUUGAGACAAGUAAAAUAAAAUAGAGUACUUAAAGGGAAUAAAGUAUACAUAUAAUAAAAAAAUAAUUUAAUGUAAAUGUUAUAUAUAUAUAUAUAUUAUGAAAUGAAUCUAUGAAAAUAUUAUCGUAUAAACCUUUAAAAUUAGAAAUAUAUAAAAAUAGAUUUUAAGAAUAUAUUAUAAGAUAAAAUCAUAAAAAUGUAUACAAAUUAUACUAGAUUAACAUAAGAAAUAUAAAAUCAUAUAUUAUAGUCAAAUACAUCACCAAAUACUACCUACUACCACUAAGUAGCCUAGUAACUUCAUAAACAUUGCUUGUACACAUAAACAAGCCACCCAAAGUAGUCAUUCAACACCUAAUGCAUCAAGUUGUCAUCAACUUGUUCAUUUUCAACUAGUUUGAAUACAAUGAACUAAAGAGAAAACCUUGCUGUUACUGCAAGCAUAAGUGCUGUAGCAUGUUUACAAGCUGGAUGCACUUCAACCAAAAAUAUCAUAGCAGUUGGCCAAUUUUCAACACUCCUCCUUGAACUCCAUGCUGCAAAUACCAGUCAUUCAUCAAGUUUUUGAACUUGGCAGUCCUUAGAUGCUUUGUUUCAAGCUGGCUCUACUCAAGCAAUUCAUUUUCAACCUUGGCUUCAUUCUCAACCAAAUCUGACUUACACACUUGACUAUCCCAGUCUUUGUGCCAAAAAUUUAUUCAUCAAAUGGAGUAUUCUCCUCCUUCACAGCCUUAGUUGACAACACAUCUUGCCUUGUUCCUUUGUUCACUACAAUCUUAUUUUUUAUUGCACAAACAGUUCGUGAGUAUAGUUUGCUUGCCUUCAUUCUGCCAUUUUGGCUUGCACCCAUUCGAGCUUGCAUUUAGACCGUCUGCCACUUUGGUUUGCACCCAUUCAGGUUUGCAUUUAGACUGUCCGCCACUUCAGCUUGCAAUUCGACAGGCUCACACUUUGACAGGUUCGCACUUUGCUUACUGUCUUCAACAGGCUAGCAGCUAUACAGGGCUCACACCUUUUGAUGAGCUCAUAGCUCGCACUUCUCGCUUAGCUUGCACCUUUGACAUCUUUGCUGAGCUUGCAGCUUGCACAUGGGAAAGCUCACAUACUUUCCUUGAAACUCCUCCUUCAGCUUAUUCAAGCUUACUUGGGAGUCUCAGAGGGUUGAGCUGAUGCUGUCUUUUCUACAAGCAACCUUCAAAGAUGACAGGCUUUAAUAGCUUCUUGUCUUUCUUAACAAGUAGCAAAAGCAAAAAUAAGCCCUCAAAGACUUGGGCUCAUGAUACCAUUUGUUGGAACAUUGGCAGCAGCAAAAGAAGAGAACAGAGAGAACAGAACAAUAAAAUUAGAUACAAGAAAAAUUUUACUUACUUACAAAUAUGCAGCAAAGGGAGCUUAUGGCUGAUAGCUUAUUCAACUCACUCAUUCAACCAGAAAAACAAUAUAUUUAUAGUCAAAUACAUCACCAAAUACUACCUACUACCACUAAGUAGCCUAGUAACUUGAUAAACAUUGCUUGUACACAUAAACAAGCCACCCAAACUAGUCAUUCAACACCUAAUAUUGCAUCAAGUUGUCAUCAACUUGUUCAUUUUUACUAGUUUGAAUACAAUGAAACUAAAGAGAAAACCUUGCUCUUACAGCAAGCAUAAGUGCUGCAGCAUGUUUACAAGCUGCAUGCACUUCAACCAAAAAUAUCACAGCAGAAUGGUUGGCCAAUUUUCAACACAACCUAUCUUCUUAUCAUCAAUUAAACUUAUUCCAAAAAACACCUGACUAGGUAAACAAAUAUCGGACCCAUUUGCUUCUAAGGAAUAUCCCGUAUCUCCUUUGUCGGUAAUCAACAUCCUGUAAUAUAUAGGAGCAAGGCGACAAUGCGUUUAAAUCAUGAAAGUGGAAAAUGGUAGUAACUCAUUAAAAUUCUCUAUGCCAUCUUACUUCAUCAGGAUCAGGUACUUCGAGAGUUGUUCCAUGUAGAGCUUUAAUUGCUAUCAGGGUUUCAUUCUACCAAAACCAAGGUCUCUUGAAGAUUAGCAUCAAAUGCAGAAUAUCAUUGCAG